rnacentral:lncRNA from 1 species
GACAUUCUAUCUGGUUUCAAAAUUUUAGAUGACAGGAAGAUAACAGAUGAAGCAUUAGCAGAGAAGUUGUGUAAAACUUUGGAGGAUAAAAAGUGUCUGGUGAUACUUGAUGAUGUUUGGACCAGUGAAGCUUGGGAUAGUCUAAAACCUGCCUUUCCAGUUGCAACGGGCCGUGAUAGCACUAGCAAGAUAUUGCUCACCUCUAGAAACAAGGGGAUAGUUUCAGAUGCUGACAUAAGAGGUAAAAUUUUCUUAAUUAGGUAAAGUUGAAUACUCUUAUUCCUUUUAUGGAAAAUAAGAGGUAAAAUUUUCUUAAUUAGGUAAAGUUGAAUACUCUUAUUCCUUUUAUGGAAAAUAACUAUGUAUAUUAUUUCAGAGUUGAAGUGCCUAAACGAUCAACAAAGUUGGGAAUUGUUUCAAAAGAUUGUAUUUCCUCAAACAGGUAAAUAUACAUAUAGCAAAAUUCUUGUUAUAUGCUAAAUUUAUUUUUCAUUUUUAAACUUUUUUGACAAUAAUUAAAAUUAAAAAUAUAUAAAAUCUAUUUUAUUUAAAAAUUUCAAAACCUUAAUAUGAAAUAAAUAAAAGAAAUCAAGGUUUUGGGGUUUAUCAAUUAAUGGUACACGCAUGCAAAUAUAAUUAAUAGGUAAAUUCAUUAUCUUUUAUAUUAUAAUUUUUUAAUAACUUGCUAUCACUUACCGGGAAUAAAUUAUAUUAGGAUCAUCUUAAAAAAUAUAAUUUUUAGGCACCAACAAAAUAAUGUCACAUGUUAAAUUUUUAAGAUAACAAAGAAUUAUUGUACACUCAUUUGUAUUUAAUAUUUUCUCCAACUUAAUUUAACUUUAAUUAAAUUAUUUAAAAUAAUUAAUUUUUUAAAUUAUAAACAAACAUCUUUUCUUCUUUUACAAGUUUUAAUCAUUUUGUUUUUUUCAUAAGUUAAAAAUUUUUAUUUUUGUGCAACCAAUUUUUAAAAAAUAGUAAUUUUUGUGUAAUAUUUUUCAUGUCAUUGAACAUAAAUUUGAUAAUUAUUUUAUCCUGAACCCAAAACCCCGAACCUUGAACUCGNNNNNNNNNNNNNNNNNNNNNNNNNNNNNNNNNNNNNNNNNNNNNNNNNNNNNNNNNNNNNNNNNNNNNNNNNNNNNNNNNNNNNNNNNNNNNNNNNNNNAACCCCGAAUCUCAUAGUUUAAGGUUUGGAUUUGAGAUUUAAAGUUCAGAAUUCGAGGUUCAAGUUUAAAGUUCAAAGGUUCAGGGUUAUGGGUUACGAGUUUAGGUUAUGGUUCAAGGGUUUGGGGUUGCAAGCUUGAAAUUUUAUGUUUUGGAUCUAGGGUUUAGGAUUAUAGAUUCAAGGUAAAAAAAUUACCAAAAUUAUGUGUCAAUGACAUGGAAAAAAUUGUUGAAAUGUUGUUAAAUAAUUGGAAAGGGACCAUGAAUAAUGUGAUCAGAAGAGUCCAUAAAAUAAUUUCUCUAUGGAUGAGUGUAUAAUAAUUCAUGUCUUUAAAAUUUGAAAAUGUGACAAAAAAAUUUUUAAUUUUUAGGAUCAUUCUAAUGUAAAUUAUUACCUUAUCUUAAUUAUUGGACUAUAUGUUUGUUUAGUUUCUUAAGCACUUUCAUGGUAUUCUUUUAUAUGUUUAUCCUGGAUCCUUGCAUCAGAAAGAUGGAGGCGCAGGUAAACCAUUGUUAUCAAGAGUAAAGCCCAAGAAAGAUGUAGUUGAUUUGAACAACCAGCACAUCUCUUUACGACCCUAUUUAGCAAACCAAUCCGCUAACCUAUUGGCUUCUCGUCUGAUAACAUUGACUUUCAAAGAAGAAAGUUGCAUGACCAGCUUAUCAAAAACCUGAAGGACUAGCCUUAAUCUCCAUCUUCGAUCUUGACUUUUCUUCUUAAUAUUAGAAGCAAUAGUCUGGGAGUCAGUCUUGAUUGUCACAUUGGUCCAUUUUUUCUUCAUAGCUAAUUCAAUCCAUCCAACCAUAGCUUUAGCCUCGACAACCUCACAUGAAUCCACUUAAUCCUUUUACCAAUCCCAUCCAGAAUCUUCCCACUUAAAUUUCUGCCUAUUUCUCUAAUACCAACACAAGCUAUUAAGGUGUCGAAUGCCCCAUCACAAUUAACUUUAACCCAACCUUGUGGUGGUUUCUCCCAAAUAUCAGCACAAGUAUUUGACUUCCUAGUUCGAUCAGAGUUAUUGUUUGAACAGAGGAUCCAUUGAGCAGAUAAGAAUUCAUUCAUGGAGCAAUUAAUCCUUCGAAUAAUUCUCUCCAAACCAAGUUUCACACCUCCAAUUGUAACCUCACACCUAGCUUUGUAACAACUUUGAGAACCAUCUGUCAAAUGAUUGAGUUUGAUCAUUUAGCCCUUGAAGACCAAAACAAGCCUCAUACUAUAUUCCCCUAACCCAAUUACAACUAAGAAAAAUAUGUUCAAAGUCUCAUCUUCAAUACCACAUAAACAACAAAUUGGGUUCGAAACAUACUUUCUUUUCCACGGAUUAAAACGAGAUGGAAUAGCAUUAUGACACAAUUUCCAUAAGAAAACUUUAAAUUUGUUCGGUACCUGUAAGCUCCAAAUAGCUUUCCAAGUGCUCCUAUCAAUUAAGUGAGAGCUGGAAGGUUGUAAAGAAGACUCAUUUCCAUAGUGCUUUCUCAACUUCUUGUACCCUGACUUCAUCGAAUAUUGAUCAACAGCUGUAAAUGGCCACACCAAUUUAUCUUGCUCAUCUGUUUCACGAAGAGGAACUUUUAAUUUCCCAAUUUCAAUAUCUUCUAACCACAUUGAAAUACUGGGUAAGUCCCAAUUUAGUUCUUCUAAACAAAUGAUCUCAGCAACUCUUGUUGGUAAGGAUCCGUCAAUACUUCUAGGAUGCUUUUGUUUCCUAUCUUUUAACUCCCAGCAACCAUCUAUCUUCCCAAAUGUGGAUGCUUUCGCCAUUUAGCACUUGCCAAAUCAAAGUCUCCUUUUAAAAACGCUUUCCCUUCAAGAAUGCUACUCCACACCCAUGAUGACCUAGCUUCCUUUUUAGCUUCAAGUAAACUAGAAUUCGGGGAAAAAAGUCCUUUUAAAAUCCUAGCCCAAAGAGCAUCAGGAUCCUGGACUAACUGUCAAGAUUGUUUUGCAAGUAGAGGAAGUCCUCCAAGCUUUUCAAUGGAUACGUCUCUCAUUUUCCUUCUGCUGAAUUCAUUUCCACGCAUAAGUUUUUAGGAAAUUCGAAAAGAUAUCGUAUACAUUGAAGCGCAUGCUACUGCUUUAAUAAGAACCUCCCUUCCCCUUCAAGAUAACGUUUGCUGCUUUCAGCCCUUAAGUUUGGUAAGGACCUUUAUAUAUAUAUAUAUAUGGUUAAAGUAAGGACCUUAUCUUUGAUAUGCCUCAAAGUUAAUGUUUUCGAAAGCCCCCACAAAGAAGGGACACCCAAGUAGGCGUCCGAAUUAUUUGCCACCUCUAAGUUAGUCUCUUCUUGAAUCAACCUUUCGUUGUCCCUUUGGGAGUAUUCACACUAAAAACGUUGCUUGAUUUAUCAUAGUUGACCCUUCGUCCAGAAGCUGCACAAUAUUCUUGAAUCAAGUUAAUCAUUCUCCUACAAUUUAACGAACUAGCGUCCAAAAAGAAUAGAAAUCGUUCGUGAAUAACAAAUGUGACACUACUGGAUAAUGACUACUAAGGCUAAUCCCAGAAAUAAAACUAGACUCGACUCUAUUAAUAAUCACUACCCCUAGAACUCCUUUCAAUAUUCACCAUGAUCUUCGAUAUGAUUUAAUACUUAAAAUUACAAGGACUAAUUGACCUAAAUUAUGUCAUUAAUUCAAGACAUUUAGUUUUCAGAAUUAAAAUUAUCUCAAUCUCGUUCGAAAAUUUCCCUUCCCUUAAUAGCUUCCAAAACAUUCUUUUUAAUAAUUUCCCAAUAAUUAUGAUAGAAAAUCCCGUUAAAAUCAUCCACAAAAAAAGAGAUUAAUUUAAUUGUUUUGUAUGCUUAACUUGUACAAUAUAAGUAAAAUCUUAUAAUUUUAUCUCCAAAUUCUCUCAACACAUCUUUCUGACCCUUAUUUAUAAUCUCAUUUGUAUCAACAGGAUAUCCAAUUUAAAAUUACAUAAUCUUUUUUAUAUAAUUCUUUAAAUAUUAAAAGUAUUUUCCUCUAUUAUUUUUUUUGUUGGAGUAUUAAAUAUUAGCCUUAAAACCAUAAGGCAUGAAUUCCAAACAACCCUUAAAAAGAUAUGUAAAUUUUGUUUUUGAAUAUCAUUUUUUCUUUUUUAGAUUUCAAAUUGGAUAGUGAAUUAUCUAUUUAUUUAUUCGAAACUCCUCUUAAAUUAAUGAGAUUGAAGUUUCUUAUUUAGUAUUGAUUGUUCCAUAAAGUAUUCAAAGUUUUCAAAUAGAUUUAUUUUUUCAAGUGUAGUUAAUAACGGCAAUAAAAAUUAAACUUUAUAAGUGAUAAAUUUAUAUUAAAAAUUGUUUGAUAAAUUCAUAAAAUAUAAGUUUGGGUUCAUCUACUUUUACAUUUCUUUUACCUAUUUAAAUUAUUUCUUAAUUUUCAUUUUUUUAAAAAAAUUAUUCUUAAUUUUUUAUACAGGAAAUAUAAUCGACGUGGAAAUGAAAAAGUUAGGAGAGAACAUGGUUAAAGAUUGUGCAGGGCUUCCAUUAGCCAUUGUUGUAUUGGGAGGAAUUUUGGCUACAAAGAAUAAUUCAUUAAACGAAUGGCAAAAGAUAUCUGACAAUUUAAAAUCAUACUUGAAGAGAGGCAAAAAUCAAGGACCAGAGGAUGUGUUAGCAUUAAGUUAUGAUGAUUUGCCUCCCUAUCUAAGACCAUGUUUCCUCUAUCUAAGCCUUUUUCCGGAGGAUUAUAUGAUAGAUGUGGAUAGAUUGAUUCAAUUAUGGGUUGCUGAAGGUAUUGUGUCAUCAAAGCAAGAAGAAAGAGACGGUGGGGAAAUUGCGGAAGAUGUGGCGGAAUCUUAUUUAAUGGAGCUUGUGGAAAGGUGCAUGAUUCAAGUACGAGAAAGAGAUGUGGCAACCUUAAAGGUCAAAACAAUUCAGAUGCAUGAUCUGAUGAGAGAUCUUUGCUUAUCAAAGGCAAAACAAGAAAAUUUUGUCUUCAUUGUCGAUCAAUCAAAUGCAUCUUCAUUAUCUAUGAUUCGGAAGGUCCGUAGGGUUUCUGUGCAUGAGUUUUUUUUUCAUACAAUGCAUUAAAAGUCCAAAUAUUCGGUCACUUUUGUUCUUCAAUGAGUUCUUUCCGGAGGAGGAAUUAGACAAAUCUUUUCCCUUGGAAGUGUUGAAUUCACUGUAUUUGAUUCUUAUGAUUUCGCGAGCUGGUAUGGGACUCCUUAAAAUUCGGGGAAUUUAGAGAUACAUGUUCAACAACUUCCAAUUGCUAAGAGCCCUAAACUAUGAGAGAACAACAGGUGAUCGUUUUGCAGGGUUUAAGUUACCUAGUGAUAUAGGUAAUCUCAUCCAUUUAAGAUUCUUGAGUCUAAAGGAUCUUGAGUUCUUAUGGCCAAAGUUGCCAUCAUCUCUAGGAAACUUAAGGUGCUUGCAAACCUUGGAUUUAAGAGUUGAUCGUGACAAAAUUCAUGUACCUAAUGUGAUAUGGAGGAUGGAGCAACUAAGACAUUUAUAUCUCCCUUCGAGAUGUGAAAGCAGUACUAAGUUGAAGUUGGGUACUUUGAGAAAACUCCUAACACUUGUGAACUUCAACACCAAGAAUUGUUAUCUGAAGGAUCUUAUCAACAUGACAAAUCUUAGAGAGUUGGGGAUAAAUUUGCCCUUCAAUAUUGAAAAUUUCAAUGAGGAGUUGGGCGAGAAUCCACCCAUAAUCGGAAGUAAAUAUCUUCAUUCCUUGUCUAUUAUUACCUCUGGGUACGAAUCAAUAGAUCCAAGACAUUUGGCCCAUCUCCUUUCAAAUUGUACAAGUAUUUGCAAGUUGAGUAUAGCAGCAGAGAUAAGUAAGUUACCAGAGUAUCACUACUUCUCUUCACAUCUCACUUACNNNNNNNNNNNNNNNNNNNNNNNNNNNNNNNNNNNNNNNNNNNNNNNNNNNNNNNNNNNNNNNNNNNNNNNNNNNNNNNNNNNNNNNNNNNNNNNNNNNNNNNNNNNNNNNNNNNNNNNNNNNNNNNNNNNNNNNNNNNNNNNNNNNNNNNNNNNNNNNNNNNNNNNNNNNNNNNNNNNNNNNNNNNNNNNNNNNNNNNNNNNNCUCUUCAGCGAUUGGAUAUCAGGCAUUGCCCAAGCUUGAAGAUGCUUCCAGAGGGAUUGAGCUCCAUUACAACCCUCAAAGAACUGAAGAUUGAAUCAAUGCCAAAGGCAUUCAAAGAAAGAUUGGAGAAAGGAGGAGAAGAUUUCUACAAAGUCGAACAUGUUCCUUCUAUCAUAUUCCAAAACAUCUGGUAGAUUGACUGAUAAUUGAGAGGUAAUUUCAUAACCUCUAGUUUAGGAAAUGAUUCCUACUUUCUUUGCUUCUUAUAUAUCUUUCGUUUUUGACAUUGUCUCACAUUCUCACUCCAUUUGUCAACACACCAAUGAAUAAUUACAUUUAUUAAAAGUUAAAGGAAGUCGGACAUUGAUCUUUUUAGUUUUGCUUUUCAGGUAAAGACGCCAUUUUUUCACCAGCUACUGCUAUUCACGGGAUCAAAUCUAGAUUUAAAACUCCUAUUAUAAGUGGCGUGUGAAAGUGUGUUAUAUUGUGAGAUUUGGAAUUAUCUUCUCGCUUGUUGACAUCAGACUGGUUGAAUGUUUGUUAUUUUCUUCAAAUUACAAUAAAAAGGUUGCAAGAUAAGGUACGGGAAGAAAGGGAGGUGUCUGGAUUAGCAAGGUACCAAACCCACAUAGCUUUGGUUUACGAUCACCAUUCCUAUCUUUAUUUGUUAGCUUUGCUUUCUCUUUUUAUUUUUUUCUUUUUUUAUCUGUACUUAAUGUAAUAUUAGAAGAGAAGGCAGGACCAUGCUUUUCUAGUUCCAUUGUAAAAUUCAUCACUUCGUUGUCAAUGUUCAUUUCUACUCUUCAGUUUUACUUAAAUAUAAUUGUUUGAUAUAUAUAUAUAUUUAUAUAUAUAUAUAUAUUUGAAUAUGGAUACACGAUAAGAGAAUAUAAUAUUUUUAAUAUUUUCUGUCAUCCUUAACUCAAUAAUCUUUGUUAAGAUAUUAUACCAGGUUCAAUGGUUGCACUUCAUCCCACACUUUCAAAGCAAAAAAUAGGAAAAAUUAAAUAUUACCAACUAAUAACACUUCCAAAUUACAUUGUCUUACAAAAAAAAAAAAGAUACAAUUUGAAUUUUUUUAUCAACAUUUGAUGGUUUAGCAAGCUAUGCUUUAUAAAAGGCAAAGGAAUCUAAGGGAAAAAAAGAUUCCAAUUCAAGAUUUUGUAUCCCCAUGCUUUGCUUCUUAUAUCUACCAACAAUAUCUUGAUGAUAAUAAACUAAAAAAAAAAAAAAAUUCAAGGGAAUCAAAGAUUUCAAAUCCAACUUAAUCGAUUGAAAAUUUCACAUCCACUUAAUUAUUUCAAAUGAUAUUUAUUCAAUAAGUUUAAAUCAAAAACCACAAGAAUCCCCAUUUAUCUUUUAUUCAAAAUGUAAAUCGGAUUCAAUGAAAAUAUUGAACAUAUAAUGUGUGCACAUGGAAAUGUCCAAAUCUUUAAAUAUAGGGUCGACAUGGGAGAAAUCUCCUAAAGAUUUAUAAAAUUCAAUAUGAUCCUAUUAUUUUCGUUAUAAAACUCAAUAUCUUAUUCGGAUUAGGAUACGAGCGAAUAACAGAUAACUAUUUGUAGUUCAAGGUGUGAUAAAAUCUCAGUAGCUAAGAUAUGAAUGUUGCAAAAUACCAUACAAAAUCACAGCCACAUUUGUUAGUAUGACUAUUUUGGGUAAUCAAAGGAAAAAAAUGUUAGCUGUUGAGCAAACAAGGUGAACAGAUUAGAUAUUCCAAUUACGUUCAAGCACUUGACAAAUCCUUUCUGCAAUGGCUUCAGCACGCAUCCUAGGACCUUCAUCAGCUGCAAAAACCGACCAUUUCUAACAACUAAGCUAACAUCACACAUGAUAAUAUAUGUAUAUAACUUAUAUAGAAGAUGAUUAUGUGGAUUAAAAGCUAUGCUAGUUUGACUCAAUACAUGACCAUGGGACAUGCUCGAUUCAUCAAUAACGAUAUGAAAAUACUUGGAAGAAAAAUUAAAUACAUCAAUAUCUAACAUUUACAUCUGAGUUCGAGUAAAGAAAACAUGUCAUUCAAUCUAAACAUGCAAAAUAUCCAAAACUCUUGAUGAGUGUUAGAUAAAAAUAUGUAGAAUGUACCCAAAAUACCCAUCUCGAACUCAGUAGAGAAAUAUCUAGCACUCAAAAGACACUACCUUCAACCAAGAACAAGCAAGUUUCUUCAAAGGCUUGAUAUACUUUCUUCACAGCCAUAUAUAUGUUCAUAUACCCAUAUUAAGGAUGAUUGUUUUGGCAAAGAGGAUGAAAAGAUAGAAAGAAAACCUUUAAUCCAAUGACAAUAUUUGAUUAUAACAACAUGACACAUAUAAUUGUGAUUAAAAUUGCGGUCACAAAUACGUUUGCAAUCACAUCAUGUUAAUGAAUACUAUUGCAAUCAAUUGCAAUAAAUAUCCACAACAACACGAGCCACAAUCCUAAAACAACAAAGAUAAUACAUUACAGCUGUUAAGGAAUUUUCAAUAACGUAUAUACCUGCAAGAUUUUCAGUGAUGACACAAUAAAAUUCACCACCAGACAACUUCCCAAUCUAAUGAAAUUUUCAAACAUAUCAUGUCAUAAGUUUCAAGAUCAACUGAAACAUGCGGAUACCAAGUAUGAUAAGAAAUUAAAUUAAGGAUUUUCUACUGCAAACCUACCACGAAAACAUAAUUUUUAUUAGGAUCAAAGGCAUAGCCCAUCAUGGCAGCAUUAUUGAGUCCAUUUUCAGAGGAAAAUCCUGAAACAUGUUACAGGCAAAUAUUAAGAAAAACAACGCACAAGCAUAAGUAUAAAAAACCUAGCAUGUAAGAAAUCAAUACUUGAAAGGACUAAAAUCACUGCUAACCUAAGACAUUGAAUCUAGCACCACUAGGAAACAUCCGAAAUGAUACUUGUCUUUCAAUGUUGAGAUACAUAGGUCCAAGUCUGCCAUGUUGCGCCAAACGGGAAUUCAUCAACCUCUUGAGAACCUAAAGGAUGAAAAGUUCCAGUCCAAGUUAUAUAUAUACAGACACACACACAGAUAGACAUGAAGAAAGUGGGUUAAUGGUGUAUUAUUUAAGUAAAGAAAAAGUUGAAAUCUUGAACCUCUAAAUAUUGGGUAACAGCGAGUGUUAAAAGUGCAUAAAGUUCUGCUAUUAUCUACAAGAAACAAUGGAGGAAUCACAUACAUUGUUUAUAUUCACUUUUGUUGCUACACAAGCAAGCUGAGUCCAUAAACAAAGGCAUAUCUUUUUCUCCGUUUUUAAAUGGUUUUCUUGUUUUUCGGCUGCUUUUUAUAUUAAGAGACAGAGAUUGUGAGACCUCGUCAUUCUCAAGGAGAAAGUGGUCAAGCAUGAAGAUGAUGGGAAGACCACGAGUCGAUGGUGGUCGAUCCAUGAGUUGAUUAUGAAUAGUUUCAUGUUAUUAAAUAAAAAUGUUAGCUAAAGUUAGUCGAACGCUGUGUUUUAGGGCCGAGGGUUUAAUGAAACUAUAAGUUUUGAUGUUGAAUAAAAAUGGUGCGUAUUGACUGUUUGUUACAGCUGCUCGAGGAACAGCCCUAUAACAGACUUUGUAGCUGCCAAUUCUCAGCCAUAAUAGAAACUGGCAUGGGAAAUGAGCAGAUAUGCCAUUUUGUGAAGGAAAUCAAUUCUUUCUUCUUCCUCGAUUCUCUUUCUCUUCUCUCUUUUUCUUUCUUCCUCUAUUCUGUUGAAAUUAUGCAUCACUUCACCAGCAUUCAUCAUUGUGGACGUAUCUGAUCUUCAGUCUCUGGUUUACUGCCCAUGUAAAGUUAUGGAAAGGAAUGCAAAUUUAAAAGGUUUUCUUGCUAUAGUCUAUGCAAUUUCAUGUGUGGGUGAAAGGAGAUGAAGAUUAAUAGAGUAAUAUUGAUAUACCAACAAUUCAUUAAUUGAAGUACUAUCAAUAUUAUCAACAAGUAACAGAAUUAAGUGAGUACACUAAUAUAGUCUAGAAAAACAAUUUAAUUAAUAAUACCAUAGGGAUGGCAACGGGGUUAAGUUGCUAUUGCUAUUCAUAUCCCUGCCGCUAGCUUUUGACGACUUCACCAAGUAAACUGCAAUCACAAUUGUUGUUCUUAUUACCUGCAAAAACACAGCCAACAAUCUGAAUCCAUAUCCCCAUUUUAGGAACAAAUGCAUGGUGUACCAUUUGUUUCGAAGCCAAAUCAAUUUUCUUAUUUUUUCUUGAAGUAAAACCUUAUCUGACACUUAUAUUCAACACAUAUUCAUGUAUUGGUAUGAAGAUAUGACACUCUUAUCCUAUACUCGUAUCCGUGCUCAGGUAACAUAAGCUGAACCCGCAAGAUAACUGAUUUAACAUCGCAUUGCUGCUAGCUAUUGAUGAUUCCACCAAGUAAACUGCAAUCACAAGUGUUGUUCUUAUUCCUUGCAAAAACACAGUCAACAAUCUGAAUCCACAUUCCCAUUUUCGGAACAAAACCAUGGCGUACCAUUUGUUUCAAAGCCCAAUCAACUUCCUUUACCAUCUUCCCCUUACAAAAACCAUGAAUCAACUUCUUGUAUGAAUCAAAACUAGGAUUAACCCUCUCGAAAACCAUUCUCCCUAUAAUCUCCUUUGCUUCCAUAAACCUCGCAGCAUCAAGCAAACCGUACAACACCUCUUGAUAAGACCCUGCAUUGGGAUAACACCCUUUCUUUUUCAUAAUUUCCAACAGCUUCACACCUUCAUCAGUCCUACCUUGUUUCCUAAGACCUGAGAUCAAGAUAUUAAAGCUAACAGCAUCAGCAUCGAUUCCUUCCGUUUCCAUCCUCCCCAUCAACUCAAAAGCUUCAUCAACCUUCCCCUUAUCGCACAACCCGUGCAUUAAAGUAGAAUAAGUUCUAACAUUAGGCUUACACCUUUGUUUAGGAAAUUCAUCGAGCAGUUGGAAUGCAAACUCUAAUUUCCCAUUUUCACACAACCCUUUAAUGAGAAUAUUCAGAGUACAAGCUUCGAUUUCAACACCCAAAUUGGGAGCUUUCCCAUAAACCUCGUGAACAACAUCAAAUAGUUUGUUCGAUACGAGUAAGCUCAAUACGAUAUUGAAGGUUUUAACACUAGGCCAAGUCCCAUAUUCUGGCAUGCUAAAAAGGAUCUCGAUUGCCCUUUUGAUUCGACCUCCGACAUGCCCAUACUUUUUAAUCACAUGCUGGAAGAAUUCAUCGGAUAAACGACAGGCUUUUUCACGUUUGAGCUUUUCCAUUAUAUUUUCAAUGGAAUCAAAAUCCUGGGCAUAUGCGAGCUUGUUGAUGAGCAAAGUGAAGAGAGGUUCAGUUGGUUUAUAAUCCUUGCGAGCUGAGUAUUGGGCUAGGACUGAAAUGAGAGAGUUUGGAUCUUUAAGAUUGUCAAAGAUUUUGAGGAUUUCGGUCGGGGAGAGCCAGUCUUUGUGGGUUAGUUUGAAAAGGGGAGGGGAAGUGGUGUGGGUUGGUUGAUGGUAGCUGGAAAGUGAGGAGAAAAACGAAAGGGAUUUAAGAGAUGAGAUUUUAGUGGUCAUUGGAUGUUGAAAAAGUGAGGGAAAAUUUUGGGGGUAAGAGCUUUUGACAGAAGAAAGAAGGGAACGUGAAAUCAUGCGUUUGGCCAUUGGAGAAUGUAGAAACUGGAGAGCUAAAAGCUUUGUGCUAUUCGCACUAUAAACAUAUAUAGGGUAAGGGACAGGCUUAAUACUUGUUUUGUCCCCUGUAAUAUAGUAAAAAAUCUCAUUUUGACCCUUUUCCUUUACUUUGUCUGUUUACUUUCAUUUCGUCCAUUGCCUGCUUACUUUCAUUUCGUCCAUCAUGUUAGUCUAUUGAUCAUUUCCGUAAAUCCCAUGUGUUAGGGUUCCUAUAUUAUAGUAUUCAUCCAUAUACUUUAACCCUCCACGUAGUCGCAAUCAAUUGGCUUAAAUGAUCGAGGAUCACUAUAGUAUAAGGACCAAACGUAAACAUGCACUAAUUUUUUUAUACAGAAAUGGUCAAAGGAUUAAAGUGAUAGAUGAAAUGAAAGUAAAGGGCGCAAAGUGAUUGGAAAAGUAGUAAAAUGUUGGAAAAUAUUAAGAGAUUGUAUGAUGCAAAACUUAAAUAAUUUAUCUACUGAAAUUUUGAGGUGUAUUAUUUCGAAGUAAUGAAUCAUUGUUAUUUACAACUAUAUAUUAUAUCUCUUUGAAAUGUACAAAUANNNNNNNNNNNNNNNNNNNNNNNNNNNNNNNNNNNNNNNNNNNNNNNNNNNNNNNNNNNNNNNNNNNNNNNNNNNNNNNNNNNNNNNNNNNNNNNNNNNNCUUCUUCUUCCCUUCAAGAAUUGGUUGGAUUUGGAGGUGCCUAUUGAAAGCCUGGUUGAAAAGGAAUCGAGUUUGGAAUGCCGAAAUGAUCGGAAGCCAUGCCAAUAUAGCAAUUGGAGAGAAAAGGAUCGAUCCCAUUCCGUAAUCAUAUGCCUUAGCUAGUACCUCAGUGAACUGCCAGAGUCCGGUGUUCUCAGUAAUUGGCCUCACAGCUUGAGCAACCUGAAGGGAACUAAAAUGUCAGAGGGAAUAAGGCAAAAGAUGCAAACUCUAGACAAAUACUAUAUGCUGGUCCUCUAAAUAUAUGAACAAAUUUAGAAAAGAACUUGGGUAUGCCCGUAUUUGAUACUUAUUCUUGAAUUCGAGUAACAUAGUCAACUAGACAUACCAAAAUCAGACCCCAUCCAGUCGGCAGAAAUGCAAGACAGCAGACAAGUAAAUCCUUGGACGACAGUUCACAGAUGACUGAGAGAGUGAUAACAAUGGCGAAAACACUUAGGAAGAGGAAUGCUUUAAAGAACCUAAACAUCAGAUGGUAACGAGCACUGAAGAGUUGCCUUCCAACGUUCACUGCCUGUAUGUCAUGUAGAGAUCAAGUUAUCCGUGCAGAAAAUUCAAGGCUACUUCGGAAUUUUCAAAAUAGAACUCAAUAUACUUGAGUAUUAUGAUACUUGAAUGAAUUUUACCUUGACCGUCAGGAAAACUGCAAGAAUCACAACCCAGGAAAGCAUAUAAACAAGGAAAUUUUUGCUCUGUUGGGAGAUGUCAAGAUGAUACACCAAGCCAUACUGAUACAAGAAAAACCGAAUCGAAAGAAGAAUUUCGAACAAUCUAGCACCAUAUCCUGAACGACGAAGGUGAGCUUGUUCAUCAUUCCACCAAGAUUGCCAACUCUUGUUUUGCUGAAUCCCAAUACCACCUUUCUCCUUGAUCCACUUAUUCCAGCCUUUCCAAUCAUCUACAAUCUUGUCCCAAUCGAACCCGGAAGGAUUAAACAAAAAUGGUGCAAAUAACCAAGUCAUGGUCAUGAACCAAACAGAGUACGUGAUUAAUACAUAUGCCAUGCUACUCUGGUAGGACCUCCGGAACAAAUCGUAAACCACUAACAGGAGCAACAGUUCAAAUCCUUUAACAAAGUGGCUUCGUGAAUACAAUCUGUAGUUCUCAGUAAAGCUGGCAUGAAACACCACAACCUUACGUCCGGUAGGUAUAUACUUAGCUCCGCCAUACAUAAUUGUCCGACCAAAAUGAUGGGUUUUUGUCCCAAGGGAAAAAGUGAAGAAAACAGCAGCAAACUGCAGUUGCAUAAGAACAAAAUCUUUAAGGGCCGUAAGAAAUCCCUUCUCAAGUCCGAUCUCCAUUACCAUCGGUAAGCCAGUUAAAAGACCAAGCUGAAUAAACGAUUGAGAAGCAAGAGCAGUUUCCAAUGAUUCAGUGUUUUUCAUUCUAGCCUCAAUGAGGAGUGCCUUUUCUAGUCCACUAAGAACAAGGUAUAGUUGUCCGUAGAGGAACACAUAAAUUCCGAGUACAGAAAUCUGGUUUUUUACAGAUCAUAAGACGGGAAAGGCAAAAAUCAGAAAAGCAUCAUACAGAGAUAAAUAGGAAUCGGAUCAGGUAACCUUGUUUAGUGUGAGAGAAUUACCAGGCUGCUGAAGUAAAAUCCAAUGGUUGUGAAAUAGCAAGAUAGCAUCCUAAAANNNNNNNNNNNNNNNNNNNNNNNNNNNNNNNNNNNNNNNNNNNNNNNNNNNNNNNNNNNNNNNNNNNNNNNNNNNNNNNNNNNNNNNNNNNNNNNNNNNNNNNNNNNNNNNNNNNNNNNNNNNNNNNNNNNNNNNNNNNNNNNNNNNNNNNNNNNNNNNNNNNNNNNNNNNNNNNNNNNNNNNNNNNNNNNNNNNNNNNNNNNNNNNNNNNNNNNNNNNNNNNNNNNNNNNNNNNNNNNNNNNNNNNNNNNNNNNNNNNNNNNNNNNNNNNNNNNNNNNNNNNNNNNNNNNNNNNNNNNNNNNNNNNNNNNNNNNNNNNNNNNNNNNNNNNNNNNNNNNNNNNNNNNNNNNNNNNNNNNNNNNNNNNNNNNNNNNNNNNNNNNNNNNNNNNNNNNNNNNNNNNNNNNNNNNNNNNNNNNNNNNNNNNNNNNNNNNNNNNNNNNNNNNNNNNNNNNNNNNNNNNNNNNNNNNNNNNNNNNNNNNNNNNNNNNNNNNNNNNNNNNNNNNNNNNNNNNNNNNNNNNNNNNNNNNNNNNNNNNNNNNNNNNNNNNNNNNNNNNNNNNNNNNNNNNNNNNNNNNNNNNNNNNNNNNNNNNNNNNNNNNNNNNNNNNNNNNNNNNNNNNNNNNNNNNNNNNNNNNNNNNNNNNNNNNNNNNNNNNNNNAAGGUCCUUACCAAACUUAAGGGCUGAAAGCAGCAAACGUUAUCUUGAAGGGGAAGGGAGGUUCUUAUUAAAGCAGUAGCAUGCGCUUCAAUGUAUACGAUAUCUUUUCGAAUUUCCUAAAAACUUAUGCGUGGAAAUGAAUUCAGCUUUGCAUCAGGAUCCUGAUCCAGAAUAUUGUGCAGCUUCUGGACGAAGGGUCAACUAUGAUAAAAACAAGUAGGACUAACUAGCCCAAAGAGCAUCAGGAUCCUGGACUAACUGUCAAGAUUGUUUUGCAAGUAGAGGAAGUCCUCCAAGCUUUUCAAUGGAUACGUCUCUCAUUUUCCUUCUGCUGAAUUCAUUUCCACGCAUAAGUUUUUAGGAAAUUCGAAAAGAUAUCGUAUACAUUGAAGCGCAUGCUACUGCUUUAAUAAGAACCUCCAUUCCCCUUCAAGAUAACGUUUGCUGCUUUCAGCCCUUAAGUUUGGUAAGGACCUUUAUAUAUAUAUAUAUAUGGUUAAAGUAAGGACCUUAUCUUUGAUAUGCCUCAAAGUUAAUGUUUUCGAAAGCCCCCACAAAGAAGGGACACCCAAGUAGGCGUCCGAAUUAUUUGCCACCUCUAAGGUAGUCUCUUCUUGAAUCAACCUUUCGUUGUCCCUUUGGGAGUAUUCACACUAAAAACGUUGCUUGAUUUAUCAUAGUUGACCCUUCGUCCAGAAGCUGCACAAUAUUCUUGAAUCAAGUUAAUCAUUCUCCUACAAUUUAAUGAACUAGCUUCCAAAAAGAAUAGAAAUCGUUCGUGAAUAACAAAUGUGACACUACUGGAUAAUGACUACNNNNNNNNNNNNNNNNNNNNNNNNNNNNNNNNNNNNNNNNNNNNNNNNNNNNNNNNNNNNNNNNNNNNNNNNNNNNNNNNNNNNNNNNNNNNNNNNNNNNAACUCCUUUCAAUAUAUUCACCAUGAUCUUCGAUAUGAUUUAAUACUUAAAAUUAUAAGGAAUAAUUGACCUAAUUAAAUUAUGUCAUUAAUUCAAGACAUUUAGUUUUCAGAAGUAAAAUUAUCUCAAUCUCGUUCGAAAAUUUCCCUUCCCUAAAAAAAAAACUCUUAAUAGCUUCCAAAACAUCCUUUUUAAUAAUUUCCCAAUAAUUAUGAUAGAAAAUCCCGUUAAAAUCAUCCACGAAAAAAGAGAUUAAUUUAAUUGUUUUGUAUGCUUAACUUGUACAAUAUAAGUAAAAUAUUAUAAUUUUAUCUCCAAAUUCUCUCAACACAUCUUUCUGACCCUUGUUUAUAAUCUCAUUUGUAUCUAGCAGGAUAUCCAAUUUAAAAUUAAAUAAUUUUUUUUAUAAUUCUUUAAAUAUUAAAAAUAUUUUCCUCUAUUAUUAUUUUUUGUUGUUGGAGUAUUAAAUAUUAGCCUUAAAACCAUAAGGCAUGAACUAUUCCAAACAACCCUUAAAAAGAUAUGUAAAUUUUGUUUUUGAAUAUCAUUUUUACUUUUUUAGGUUUCAAAUUGGAUAGUGAAUUAUAUAUUUAUUUAUUCGAAACUCCUCUUAAAUUAAUAAGAGUGAAGUUUCUUAUUUAGUAUUGAUUGUUCCAUAAAAUAUUCAAAGUUUUCAAAGUUUUCAAAUAGAUUUAUUUUUUUAAGUGUAGUUAAUAACCUCAAUAAAAAUUAAACUUUAUAAGUGAUGAAUUUAUAUUAAAAAUUGUUUGAUAAAUUCAUAAAAUAUAAGUUUGGGUUCAUCUACUUUUACAUUUCUUUUACCUAUUUAAAUUAUUUCUUAAUUUUUCUUAUUUUUUAAAAAAUUAUUCUUAAUUUUUUAUACAGGAAAAAUAAUCGACGAGGAAAUGAAAAAGUUAGGAGAGAACAUGGUUCAACAUUGUGCAGGGCUUCCAUUAGCCAUUGUUGUAUUGGGAGGAAUUUUAGCUACAAAGAAUAAUUCAUUAAACGAAUGGCGAAAGAUAUCUGACAAUGUAAAAUCCUACUUGAAGAAGGGCAAAAAUCAAAGACUAGAGGAUGUGUUAGCAUUAAGUUAUGAUGAUUUGCCUCCCUAUCUAAGACCAUGUUUCCUCUAUCUAAGCCAUUUUCCGGAGGAUUAUAUGAUAGAUGUGGAUAGAUUGAUUCAAUUAUGGGUUGCUGAAGGUAUUGUGUCAUCAAAGCAAGAAGAAAGAGAUGGUGGGGAAAUUGUGGAAGAUGUGGCGGAAUCUUAUUUAAUGGAGCUUGUGGAAAGGUGCAUGAUUCAAGUACGAGAAAGAGAUGUGGCAACCUUAAAGGUCAAAACAAUUCAGAUGCAUGAUCUGAUGAGAGAUCUUUGCUUAUCAAAAGCAAAACAAGAAAAUCUUGUCUUCAUUGUUGAUCGACCGAAUGCAUCUUCGUUAUCUAUGAUUCGGAAGGUUCAUAGGGUUUCUGUGCAUGAGUUUUUUUUCAUACAAUGCAUUAAAAGUCCAAAUAUUUAGUCACUUUUGUUCUUCAAUGAGUUCUUUCCGAAGGAGGCAAUUGAAAAAUCUUUGCCCUUGAAAGUGUUGAAUUACGUUGAAGAACAUGAAGAUGAUGAUUGUAAUCCACUAUUUUGGAUUCUUAUAACUUUGGCACGUUCUACAGGACGUCAUAAAAUUCACGAAAUUUGUAGAUACAUGUUCAACAACUUCAAAUUGCUAAGAGUCCUAAACUAUGAGAUAAGAACAAGAAGAACACGUGAUCUUUUUGGAGGGUGGAAGUUACCCAGUGAUAUAGGUAAUCUCGUCCAUUUAAGAUUCUUGAGUCUAAGGAAUUUUGAGUUCCAACGGUCAAAGUUGCCAUCAUCUCUAGGCAACUUAAGGUGCUUGCAAACCUUGGAUUUAAGAGUUGAUGACAGAAUUCAUGUACCUAAUGUGAAAUGGAGGAUGGAGCAACUAAGACAUUUAUAUCUCCCUUUGAGAUGUAAAAGCAGAACUAAGUUGAAGUUGGGUACUUUGACAAAACUCCUAACACUUGUGAACUUCAAGACCAAGAAUUGUUAUCUGAAGGAUCUUAUCAACAUGACAAAUCUUAGAGAGUUGGGGAUAAAUUUGCCCUUCAAUAUUGAAAAUUUCAAUGAGAAGGAGUUGGGCGAGAAUCCACCCAUAAUCGGAAGUAAAUAUCUUCAUUCCUUGUCUAUUACCUAUGAAGAAGGACUGAAAAUAUUUACUUUAUUUUCUAUUGAUGUCAUUAUGAAAUCCUGGUCAAAAAUAGAUCCAAGACAUUUGGCCCACCUCCUUUCAAAUUGUACUAGUAUUUGCAAGUUGAGUAUAACAAGAGUGAUAAGUGAGUUACCAGAGUAUCACUACUUCUCUUCCCAUCUCGCUUACAUACGGUUGAUAUGUUGUAAGUUUGAGGAAGAUCCAAUGCCAACACUAGAGAAGCUGCCUAACUUAAGGAUUCUUGAACUCAAAUAUACUUCAGAAGGAAAGGAAAUGUUUUGCUCUGCUCAGGGUUUUCCUAAACUUGAGUCUCUAAUCCUUGCGGAGCUCUACAAAUUGGAGGAGUGGAAGGUGGAUGAAGGAGCCAUGCCUUCUCUUCAGCGAUUGGAGAUUGAGGAAUGUGGAAACUUGAAGAUGCUUCCAGAGGGAUUGAGGUUCAUUACAACCCUCAAAGAACUGAAGCUUGAAUUAAUGCCAAAGGCAUUCAAAGAUAGAUUAGAGGAAGGAGGAGAAGAUUUCUGCAAAGUCAAACAUGUUCCUUCUGUCAUAUUCCAAAAAUGUGGCUAAUAGAUUGAAUGAUAAUUGAGAGGUAAUUUCAUAACCUCUGGUUUAGGAAAUGAUUCCUACUUUCUUUGCUUCUUAUAUAUCUUUUGUUUUUGACAAUGUCUCACAUUCUCACUCACUUUGUCAACACACCAAUGAAUAAUUACAUUUAUUGAAAGUCAAAGGAAGUGAGACAUUGAUAUUUUUAGUUUUUCUUUUCAGGUAAAGACGCCAUUUUUUCACCUGCUACUGCUAUUCACGGGAUCAAAUCUAGAUUUAAAACUCCUAUUAUAAGUGGCAUGUGAAAGUGUGUUAUAUGGUGAGAUUUGGAAUUAUGUUCUCUCUUGUAUAUAUCUGUGGUUGUUGACUGUUUGUUGUUUUCUUCAAAUUACAAUAAAACGGUUGCAAGAUAUGGUAUUGGAAGAAUGGGAGGUGUCUGGAUUAGCAAGGUACCAAACUCCUCCUCCAUUUCAAUUUCCUUCAAUCUAAUUUAAUUACACGUUCAUUUUUGUCUUUUAAAACAUAAAAUUGCAGAUAAGGAGACGUCACUGACCUUUGUUCCCACAUAGCUUUGGUUUGCGCCUUUGCGGUGACCAUUCCUAUAUUUAUUUGUUAGCUUUGCUUUCUCUGCUUGAGUCUUUCUCUUUUUUCUUUUUUCUUUUUUUUAUAUGCACUUAAUGUAAUAUUAGAAGCCAAGGCAGGACCAUGCUUUUCUAUUGUAAAAUUCAUCACUUUGUUGUCUAUGUUCAUUUCUACUUUUCAUUUGAUAUAUAUUUGAAUAUGGAGAAUAUAAUCUUUUUAAUAUAUACAUAUUUUAGAAAAAAAAUGAAUAUAUGUAUGUUUGACAUAUUUCCCGUUUCAACAUAUUUCCUUAUUUUAUGCAAGUCAAUUGGCAUUUAACCAAAUAAAUUUAAUUGCUUCAGUUUGAGUUAAAAUUAAAAUUUCAAAAUUAAAAAAAAAAUACAAAAAAUAAAGUUGACAAAUUCAAAAAUAUACAUAUUAAAAUUGAUCAAAUUAAAAGUGCACUGGCUAACCUUAAUUUUUUUGUUAAUCUUUCUUUUCGAUUAAUUAAAUGUCCAUGACGUAUAUUAUAUAUCUUAAUAUAUAAAUAUUUUUAAAAAAAUUAAAUAUAUGUAGGUUGGACACAUAUUCAAGUUUGAUAUUCGUCUUAAAUUCGUGCAAUACGGUUAAAUAUUGGUGAAUUAGUAGUUGAUGAAGUAUUAUAUACAUUCUUGGAAUAUUGCUCUAUUCAACGAAUUUAUUUCAGCUCCAUAUGCUUAAAACGCCUCCCAUUUCUAACAUAUUUCCUCAUUUUGGGUAACUCGAUUGGUAUACAAUGUAGUCUUUUUCAUUGUUUAGUAUCCUAAUCCUUAACUCAAUAAUCUUUGUUACAAUAGGGUUUAAUGAUUGCAAUUCAUCUCGAUGCUUCCGAAGCAAAAAAAAAAAAAAUCAAAUUUUACCGGUUAAUUACAUGUCAACACAUAUAAUCCACGAUAUGUUUAUCUGAAAGAUUAAAUAAGAUUAACUAAAUCACAAAGAAAAUAAACGAGUAAACAUAAUCUAGAAAUUCCAAAUUACAUUAUCUAACAAAAAUUCAAUAAGAAAUAAAUGGUUGCAUUUCAUUCUUUAGGGAUUUGCUCUUAUAUCUUCCAACAAUAGCUUGAUGAUAAUAAGCUGAAAAAGAAAAGGAGUCCAAGGGAAUUGAAGAUUCUUAAUUCAGCUAGCUUAAUUGAUUGAAUACUUCAAAUACACUUAAUUAAUACCAAUUAUAUUUAUCAAUAAAUCUAAAAUUUGAAUCCCUCAUUUGCAACCUAUUUUGUAAAAACUGCCAAAUGAAAUCAAAUUAUCUUGUUUCAAUUCUCUUCAAAUUUUAGUUUACAACUUCUAUUUUUGGGUUUCCAUUUGUUUCUACUUUUAAAGCAAACAUUGAUUCAAGAAAUAUUUAUUUCAUUUGGCUUAUUUUCUUUUCUAUUUUUAUGCUAUUCAGAUUCGAUGAAAUAUUGAACAUAAUAUGUGUGCAAGUUAGAUGUCCGAGUCUUGAAAUGUAAGAUCGAAACGGGAGAAAUAUCCUAAAACCCGAUGCUUAAAGAUUUAUAAAAUUUAGUAUAAUCAUGUUGUUUUCAUUAUUAUAAAACUCAAUGUUAAAAUGUCUAUGAUUUGAAUUAUGAUACAAGAGAAAAAUAGCUAACUAUUUUAAGUUCAAGGUGUGAGAAAACCUCAAUAUCUAAGAUAUGAAUGUUGUAAAGUACCACUCAAUCACAGCCACAUUUGUUAGUAUGACUACUUUGGAUGAAAAGUUCUAUUCCAAGUUAUAUAUACACACAGAAAUACACAUGAAGUGGAUUAAUGGUGUAUUAUUAAGUAAAGGAAAACGGUUCUAACUAAAAGAAAGAGUUGAAAUCUUGAACCUCCAAAUAUUGGGUAACCGCUGGUGUUAAAAAGUGCAUAAAGGUCCGCGCUUAUCUACAAGAAAUAAUGGAGGAAUCGCAUACGCUGUUUAUAUUCAUUUUUUUUGCUCCACAAGCAAUCCGAAACCAUAAACAAAGGAGUACUUUUUUGCCUUUUUUAAAUGGUUUUCUUGUUUCUUUUCCGCUUUUCAAAUUCUUCAUUCAAUUCAAGUUCAAGAAACCAUACUAAAUAUAUAUAUAUGUUUAUAUUCGCUUUUCUUGCUACACAAGCAAGCCAAAACCAUAAACAAAGGCAUGCAUUUUAUUUCCUUUUUUAAUGGUUUUCUUGAUUCUUUGUUGUUUUUAAAAUUCUUCAUUCAAUUCAAGUUCAAGAAACCAUACUAAAAUAUAUAUUUAUAUUCGCUUUUUUUGCUACACAAGCAAGCUGAAACCAUAAACAAAGGCAUACAUUUUUUCCUUUUUUAAAUGCAUUUUUUUUUUUGUUUCUUUGUUGUUUUUUAGAUUCUUCAUUCAAUUCAAGUUCAAGAAAUCAUACUAAUUAUAUAUGUUUAUAUUCACUUUUCUUGCUACAUAAGCAAGCCGAAACUAUAAACAAAGGCAUACCUUUUUUUCCCCUUUUUAUCUUGCUGCUUUUUAGAUUUUUCAUUCAAUUCAAGUUUAAGAAAUCAUACUAUAUAUAUACCAUACUAUAUAUAUAUAUAUGUUUAUAUUCACUUUUCUUGCUACACAAGUCAACUGAAACCAUAAACAAAGGCAUAACUUUUUCGCUUUUUUUAAAAUGAUUUUUUUUCUUUGCUACUUUUUUAAAUUUUUAUUCAAUUUAAGUUUAAAAAACCCUACUAAAUAUAUAUAUAUAUAUAUAUAUAUUAAGAGAGAGACAUCAUCAUCCUCAAGGAGUAAGUGGUUAAGCAUGAACUUGAUGGGAAGGCCACAAGUCGGUGGUGGUCAAAUCAUGAGUUGAUUAUGAUUAGUUUCAUGUUAUGGAAAAAAGAUGCUAGUUAAAAUUAGUUACUUGACCGUUGCAUUUUGAGGUUGAGAGUUUAAUGAAACGAUACGCUUUGAUGUUUAAUGAAAACGGUGCGUAUUGAAAGUUUGAUACAACUAAUCGAAUAACAAGCCUGUAACAACUUUGUAACUACCAAUUCCUCGCUUUAAAAAAAUAUUCCAAAUAUGUUUUCUCACCUUAUCAUUUUUGUUAUUUUUCAAGCCCCCUUACCAUUUUAUAUUUUUAAUGGGUAUAUUAUAAAAAUAGUCACCUAGGUAUUGCUUUCAUUCUAUUUUAUUCACUAAGUUAUUAAUUUUUUCGAUUUAAUUACUAAAUUUUUUUAAAUUAAAUAUUUUGAUCACUCUCCCAUUAGUUAUCAUUAGAUAAGUGAUAGGAAGUUAAUGUGGGCUUUUUUUAUUAGUCUAAUAACAAAUUUAGUCAUCUAAUGUUUACACAUUCUAUUAAAUUGAUUUUAAAUAUAAAAUGUUCAAUAGCUUUAAACCUAAAUGUUUACCAAAUCUAUUGUUAUAGUUCAAAUCCUAAAAAUUUCAAUAAAUUUAAUCCUCAAAAUUUGUAAAUUUAAUUUUAAUUCUAACUCAUGGAUGAAUUAAGCAAAUUAAAUCAAAUCAAAUCAAUCGAACAAAGAAUUUAAUUAAAAAGAAAUUCUUCACAUGCAUCAAGGAGGGACUUCCUCUGGUGGUAUCAAGGGGAUUGAUAGAAACAGCUCAGGCUCGAACAAGAACUUCACUGGGCUUAAGAUCAGGAACAGACACAUCGGAUCAAAGCUGCAACACCUCAGGUCCACCGAACCGAGGCAGCAACACCGCCCUGCAACUGUUGGCAUAGCACCGAAUUGAACCCACUUUCAAUGAUAUGAUAACUCCAUAAAGGGUUUGGGUUUUAAGCUUUGAAAGUUCCCCUUUUUCUUCUCAAAUUUUCUGAACUUCAGCUCCUUCCUUUUGUUAAAUGAAGGAAAAGCAAAGGAGAGACACCGAAGUGUUUUAAUCCACAUAGAAAAUAGUGAUUAUGUGACUUGUGAGUGUUGGCCUGGGGUCUUGGAAGAAGAAGAUGAAUAUUGCAUAAUCGAUUUUUAAUUGCUUACUACAUUCAUAAUUAAAUAAAUAAAAAUUUCUAACCUUAUCAAUUAAAUCAAGUUAGAAUGUUCAACUUGAUUUUUGUUUGUUAUAAGGAUCAUAUAUUAUAAAACUUAAUUUUAUUUUAAUAAUUAUAUAAUAUUAUUUUUAAUUAUAUCAUCUGAUACCAUCUUGAGGGCUAAAUUUAGAAUUAAAAUUAAAUUGACAAAUUUUAGAAAUUUUGAGCUUAAAUUUAUUUUUAUUUUUAGGAAUUUGAAAUAAAAUGAGAAAUUUUGUAAAUAUUGAGGAUUAAAUUUGUUGGAAAUUUUAUAUUUAGAAUCAAAUGGUAGAAUGUCUAAACAUUAGGGGGCUAAAUUUAUUAUUAGACCAAUAAAAACAAGUUCAUAUCAAUUUCCCGUCACUCAUCUAAUUGCAACUAAUGAGGAAGUGAUGAAAAUAUUUAACUUCUAAAAAUUUAAUGACUAAAUAAAAAAAUUAACAUUUAAGUGAUCAAAAUAGAAUGAAAUCAAUAAUUUGAUGAGCAUUUUUGUACUGUACCCUAUCUUAAUCCAUCUCACAACCAAAUUUCUCCGUCUUUGCCUAAGUUCUGUGUCUUUGUCAAAUUUUAAUAGAAUUAACAUUUUUAUUUAAAAAAUAUCUUUAAUCGUUUAAUAUAUUUUUAAUAAGUAAAUGUUAAUUCCGUUAAGGGUCAGUUUGUUUACACGUAAAAAGUUAAAAAUAAAAAUAUUGAGUUCUAUAAUAUGAGUCUAUUGAACCGAUUCAAUCAUAAAUUUUAUUAUUAUUGGUUUAUAUAAUGGUUUGAUUUUGAAAAUAUUUGGUUUAACAUUUAGUCAUCCCUUUGAUCAAUUUUAAAUUUUAGAAAUAAUUUUGUUUUUUGUUUACAUUUAAAUGUACAGUUUCUAAUGCAUAUGUGUUACAUUUGAUUUCAAGCCAUUAAUCCUUAAUUACUUUUUAAAAUAAUAGUUUCUUUUAGUUUUUAAAUAAUGUAUAAAUUUAUAAUUAUAUAAGAAAGUAAACUAUAAUAUUAAAUUUUUAAAAAUUAAGUAAAACAACAUGCAAUAAUUUUCAUAAUAAUUAAUGAUAAAUAAGAAAAAUAUUCACAAUUAUAAAACAAACCGUUUAAGAGUAUAUAAACUACUUAUACAAAAUUCUUUUAAAUCAAAGAUGAAAUUAUAUAUAUAUAAAUAACAAAUGAAAUUAUAUAUACAAAUUUAUAAGUGAAAAAUAUACAUAAUUAUAUUCAUAAAAAGUACAUAUGACAAUAUACAAACAAGGCUAUAAAGUAAUUCAUAGGAACAUGGCUUUCUUGUUAGUAUUCUCAUUCUUUUUUUAACAUACCUUUCUUGCUUGUGUUCUCAUUCUAUUAUGAAUAUACCUUUCUUGUUCGUAUUCUCGUUCUAUUGAUGAUUAAUGUUGCUUUAUAAUUGUUUAUAAAUUUAAUAGAACUAUAUAUUACUACUAAAAGUAUAAAAGGGCAAUGAUUUGCAAUUGUUUUUAUAAUUAAGUACUGGUUCUUGCAAUUGUUUUCCCAGCAAGAUUGCGGCACUCACAUCUUGAAAUCCAAAUUCAAGAUUUUAAAGAAUUUUCUGAGCUCGAUAGCUAUUAUGGCUUGGUCUGCUGUGACAUCUGCAGUGACAACAAUUGGCAACCUGCUAACUCAGGAAGCCAUAUACCUAUGGGGCGUGGAGGAGCAAGUUGAUCGUCUGCAAACAGAGCUCAAAUGGAUGCAAAGCUCCUUAAUGGUGGCAGAGACAAAACAAUCAACGGAUGAGAGGAUUCGUCUUUGGGUUGCUGAAAUCAGAGAGCUUGCUUAUGAUGCUGAGGAUAUUGUUGAGGAAUUUGCUCUCAAGAUUGGAUCCAAAAACAAAGGUGGCCUUCCGAGUUGUAUUAAAAGAUCAGCCUGCUGUUUGAAAGAGGGAUGGGUGCUCCAUGAAACCAGGUCAAAGAUCGAGAAAAUCAUAGAAAGAGUCAGCGACUUGGUCCGACGACUACAGGCCUACGGCGUAAAGGAAUUAAAUCCCAGAGGAGAAGGAUCAAGUUUUUCAACUGAAAUACGAGAAUCAAGGCGGCCUUAUCCACAUAUUAUGGAUGAUAAUAUUGUUGGACUAGUUGAUGAUACCAAGGGAUUGGUCGAAGUUCUUACGAAGGAAAGUGGAUGCAAGGUUGUUACAAUAUGGGGCAUGGGUGGUCUGGGAAAGACCACUCUCGCCAAGAAAAUAUAUCACCAUGGUGAGGUUAUUGAUUAUUUCGAUCACUUGGCUUUUGUAUAUGUUUCUCAACCAUGCCGGAAAAGAAAUGUUUGGGAAGACAUUUUAUCUGGUUUCAAAACUUUAGAUAAAGAGGACAGGAAGAUAACAGAUGCAGAAUUAGCAGGGAAGUUGAGUAAAACUUUGAAGGAUAAAAAGUGUCUGGUGAUACUUGAUGAUGUUUGGACCAGUGAAGCUUGGGAUAGUCUAAAACCUGCCUUUCCAGUUGAUAGCAAAAGCAAGAUAUUGCUCACCUCUAGAAACAGGGGGAUAGUUUCAUAUGCUGACAUAAAAGGUAAAAUUUUCUUAAUUAGGUAAAAUUGAAUACUCUUAUUCCUUUGAUGGAAAAUAACCAUGUAUAUUAUUUCAGAGUUGAAGUGCCUAAACGAUGAAGAAAGUUGGGAAUUGUUUCAAAAGAUUGUAUUUCCUCAAACAGGUAAAUAUACAUAUAGCAAAAUUCUUGUUAUACGCUAAAUUUAUUUUUCAUUUUUAAUUUUUUUGACAAUAAUUAAAUUUAAAAAUAUAUAAAAUCUAUUUUAUUUAAAAAUUUCAAAACCUUAAUAUGAAAUAAAUAAAAGAAAUCAAGGCUUUGUAGUUUAUCAGCUAAUGGUACACGCAAGUAAAUAUAAUUAAUAGGUAAAUUCAUUAUCUUUUAUAUUAUAUAUUUUUAAUAACUUUGCUAUUAGUUACCGAGAAUAAAUUAUAUUAGGAUCAUCUUAAAAAAAUAUAAAUUUUAGGCACCAAUAAAAUAAUGUUACAUCGUUAAAUUUUUAAGAUAACAAAGAAUUAUUAUACACUCAUUUAUAUUUAAUAUUUUCUCCAACUUAAUUUAACUUUAAUUAAAUUAUUUAAAAUAAUUAAUUUUUUAAAUUAUAGACAAACAUCUUUUCUUCUUUUACAAAAUUUAAUCAUUUUUUUAUAAGUUAAUAUUUUUUUUAUUUUUGUGCAACCAUUUUUUAAAAAAAUAGUAAUUUUUGUGCAAUAUUUUUCAUGUCAUUGACACAUAAUUUUGAUAAUUAUUUUAUCCUGAACCCAAAACCCCGAACCUUGAACUCGAACCCUAAACCCUGAACCUAAACCUUGAGCCCUGAAUCUCAUAAUUUAAGGUUUGGAUUCGAGAUUUAAAGCUCAGAAUUCGAAGUUCAAGUUUAAAGUUUAAGGGUUCAGGUGGGUUACGAGUUUAGGAUUCAUGGUUCAAGGGUUUGGGGUUGCAAGUUUGGAGUUUUAUGUUUUGGAUCUAGGUUUAGAAUUAUAGAUUUAGGGUUCAGGUAAAAAAUUUACCAAAAUUAUGUGUCAAUGACAUGGAAAAAAUUGUUGAAAUGUUAUUAAAUAAUUGGAAAGGGACCAUGAAUAAUGUGGUCAGAAGAGUCCAUAAAAUAAUUUCUCUAUGGAUGAGUGUAUAAUAAUUUAUGUCUUUAAAAUUUGAUGAUGUGACAAAAAAAAUUUAAUUUUUAGGAUCUUCCUAAUGUAAGUUAUUACCUUAUCUUAAUUAUUGGACUAUAUGCUUGUUUAGUUUCUUAAGCACUUUCAUGGUAUUCUUUUAUACGUUUAUCCUGGAUCCUUGCAUCAGAAAGAUUGAGGUGCAGGUAAACCAUUCUUAUCAAGAGUAAAGCCUAAGAAAGAUGUAGUUGAUUCGAACAACUAGCACAUCUCUUUAUGACCCUAUUUAGCAAACCAAUCCACUAACCUAUUGGCUUCUCGUCUGAUAACAUUGACUUUCAAAGAAGAAAGUUGCAUGACCAGCAUAUCAAAAACCUAAAGGACUAGCCUUAAUCUCCAUCUUCGAUCUUGACUUUUCUUCUUAAUGUUAGAAGCAAUAGUCUGGGAGUUAGUCUUGAUUGUCACAUUGGUCCAUUUGUUCUUCAUAGUUAAUUCAAUCCAUCCAACCAUAGCUUUAGCCUCGACAACCUUACAUGAAUCCACUUAAUCCUUUUACCAAUCCCAUCCAGAAUCUUCCCACUUAAAUUUCUGCCUAUUUCUCUAAUACCGGCACAAGCUAUUAAGGUGUCAAAUGCCCCAUCACAAUUAACUUUAACCCAACCUUCUGGUGAUUUCUCCCAAAUAUCAGCACAAGUAUUUGACUUCCUAGUUCGAUCAGAGUUAUUGUUUGAACAGAGGAUCCAUUGAGCAGAUAAGAAUUCAUUCAUGGAGCAAUUAAUCCUUCGAAUAAUUCUCUCCAAACCAAGUUUCACACCUCCGAUUGUAACCUCACACCUAGCUUUCCAGAUGUGGUAACAAGUGAAAACAAUUCUAACUUGAAAAUCCUCCCUCAUACAAGGCAUUUGUAACAACUUAGAGAACCAUCUGUCAAAUGAUUGAGUUUGAUCAUUUAGCCCUUAAAGACCAAAACAAGCAUCAUACUAUAUUCCCCUAACCCUAUUACAACUAAGAAUAAUAUGUUCAAAGUCUCAUCUUCAAUACCACAUAAACAACAAAUUGUGUUCGAAAAACAUUUUCUUUUCCUCGGAUUAAAACGAGAUGGAAUAGCAUUAUGACACAAUUUCCAUAAGAAAAUUUUAAUUUUUUUCAGUACCUGUAAGCUCCAAAUAGCUUUCUGAGUGCUCCUAUCAAUUAAGUGAGAGCUGGAAGAUUGUAAAGAAGACUCAUUUCCAUAGUGCUUUCUCAUCUCCUUAUACCCUGACUUCAUCAAAUAUUGACCAACAGCUGUAAACGGCCACACCAAUUUAUCUUGUUCAUCUGUUUCAUGAACGGGAACUGUUGGAAAUUGCCAAUCAUUCUGCUGUUACAUUUUUUGGUUGAAGUGCAUGCAGAAAAAAAAUGUUAGAAAUUUGCCAACCAUGCUGCUGUUACAUUUUUUGGUUGAAGUGCAUGCAGCUUGAUGACAUGUUGCAUGCACUUCAACCAAAAAAAUGUAACAGCAACAUGGUUGGCCAAUUUCCAACACUCCUCCUUGGACUCUAUGCUGCAAAUACCAGUCAUUCAUUAAGUUUUUGAACUUGGCAGUCCUUAGAUGCUUUGUUUCAAGCUAACUCUUCUCAAGCAAUUCAUUUUCAACAUUGGCUUCAUUCUCAACCAAAUCUGACUUACACACUUGACUAUACCACUCUUUUGUGCCAAAGAUUUGUCCAUCAAAUGGAGUAUUCUCCUCUUUCACAGCCUUGGUUGACAACUUGCCUUUAAACUCAUCUUUUCUUUCUUGCCUUGUCCCUUUACUCAUUACAAUCCUGUUUCUUCUUGCACAAACAGUUCAUGAGUAUAGUUUGCUUGCCUUCAGUCUGCCAUUUUGGCUUGCACCUACUCGAGCUUGCAUUUAAACUGUUUGCCACUUUGGCUUGCAAUUCGAUAAGCUCACACUUUGACAAGCUCACACUUUGCUUACUGUCUUCAACAGGCUCGCAACUUUACAACUCGCAUUGAGCUUCCACAUGUUGCUGAGCUCACACCCAAAGUUAAUGAUUUCGAAAGCCCCCACAAAGAAGGGACACCCAAGUAGACGUCCGCAUUAUUUACCACCUCUAUGUUAGUCUCUUCUUGAAUCAACCUUUCGUUGUCCCUUCGGGAGUAUUCACACUAAAAACGUUGCUUGAUUUAUCAUAAUUGACCCUUCGUCUAGAAGUUGCACAAUAUUCUUGAAUCAAGUUAAUCAUUCUCCUACAAUUUAACGAACUCACUUCCAAAAAGAAUAGAAAUCGUUCGUGAAUAACAAAUGUGACACUACUGGAUAAUAACUACUAAGGCUAAUCCAAGAAAUAAAACUAGACUCGACUCUAUUAAUAAUCACCACCCCUAGAACUCCUUUCAAUAUAUUCACCAUGAUCUUCGAUAUGAUUUAAUACUUAAAAUUACACAGACUAAUUGACCUAAAUUAUGUCAUUAAUUCAAAACAUUUAGUUUUCAGAAUUAAAAUUAUCUCAAUCUCAUUUGAAAAUUUCCCUUCCCUAAAAAAAAAAACUCUUAAUAGCUUCCAAAACAUCCUUUUUAAUAAUUUCCCAAUAAUUAUGAUAAAAAUUCUGCUAAAAUAUUCGCAAAAAAAAGAUAUUAAUUUAAUUGUUUUGUAUGCUUAACUUGUACAAUAUAAGUAAAAUCUUAUAAUUUUAUCUCCAAAUUCUCUUAACACAUCUUUCUGACCCUUAUUUAUAAUCUCAUUUGUAUCUAAGAGGAUAUUCAAUUUAAAAUUAAAUAAUCUUUCUUAUAUAAUUCUUUAAACAUUAAAAGUAUUUUCCUCUAUUUUUUUUUUUUUGGUUGGAGUAUUAAAUAUUAGCCUUAAAACCAUAAGGCAUGAACUAUUCCAAACAACCCUUAAAAAGAUAUGUAAAUUUUGUUUUUGAAUAUAUCAUUCUUACUUUUUUAGAUUUCAAAUUGGAUAGUGAAUUAUAUAUUUAUUUAUUUGAAACUCCUCUUAAAUUAAUGAGAGUGAAGUUUCUUAUUUAGAAUUGAUUGUUCUAUAAAGUAUUCAAAUUUUUCAAAUAGAUUUAUUUUUUCAAGUGUAGUUAAUAACCGCAAUAAAAACUAAAUUUUAUAAGUGAUGAAUUUAUAUUAAAAAUUGUUUGAUAAAUUCAUAAAAUAUAAGUUUGGAUUCAUCUACUUUUACAUUUUUUUUACCUAUUUAAAUUAGUUCUUAAUUUUCCUUAUUUUUAAAAAAUUUAUUCUUAAUUUUUUAUACAGAAAAUAUAAUCGACGUGGAAAUGAAAAAGUUAGGAGAGAAUAUGGUUAAACAUUGUGCAGGGCUUCCAUUAGCCAUUGUUGUAUUGGGAGGAAUUUUGGCUACAAAGAAUAAUUCAUUAAAUGAAUGGCGAAAGAUAUCUGACAAUAUAAAAUCAUACUUGAAGAAAGGCAAAAAUCAAAGACCAGAGGAUGUGUUAACAUUAAGUUAUGAUGAUUUGCCUCCCUAUCUAAGACCAUGUUUCCUCUAUCUAAGCCAUUUUCCGGAGGAUUAUAUGAUAGAUGUGGAUAGAUUGAUUCGAUUAUGGGUUGCUGAAGGUAUUGUGUCAUCAAAGCAAGAAGAAAGAGAUGAUGGGGAAAUUGCGGAAGAUGUGGCGGAAUCUUAUUUAAUGGAGCUUGUGGAAAGGUGCAUGAUUCAAGUACGAGAAAGAGAUGUGGCAACCUUAAAGGUCAAAACAAUUCAGAUGCAUGAUCUGAUGAGAGAUCUUUGCUUAUCAAAGGCAAAACAAGAAAAUUUUGUCUUCAUUGUUGAUCAAUCAAAUGCAUCUUCAUUAUCUAUGAUUCGGAACGUUCGAAGGGUUUCUGUGCAUGAGUUUUUUUCAUACAAUGCAUUAAAAGUCCAAAUAUUCGGUCACUUUUGUUCUUCAAUGAGUUUUUUCCGGAGGAGGCAUUAGAAAAAUCUUUGCCCUUGGAAGUGUUGAAUUACGUUGAAGAACAUGAAGAUGAAGUUUGUAAUCCACUUGUUUGGAUUCUUAUGAUUUCGCGAACUGGUACGAGCUUUCUUAAAGCUCGGGGAAUUUGGAGAUACAUGUUCAACAACUUCAAAUUGCUAAGAGCCCUAAACUAUGAGAGAACAACAUGUGAUCGUUUUGUAGGGUUUAAGUUACCCAGUGAUAUAGGUAAUCUCAUCCAUUUAAGAUUCUUGAGUCUAAAGGAUCUUGAGUUCACAUGGCCAAAGUUGCCAUCAUCUCUAGGCAACUUAAGGUGCUUGCAAACCUUGGAUUUAAGAGUUGAUAGUUACAAAAUUCAUGUACCUAAUGUGAUAUGGAGGAUGGAGCAACUAAGACAUUUAUAUCUCCCUUGGAGAUGUAAAAGCAGAACUAAGUUGAAGUUGGGUACUUUGAGAAAACUCCUAACACUUGUGAACUUCAACACCAAGAAUUGUUAUCUGAAGGAUCUUAUCAACAUGACAAAUCUUAGAGAGUUGGGGAUAAAUUUACCCUUCAAUUUUGAAAAUUUCAAUGAGAAGGAGUUGGGCGAGAAUCCAUUCAUAAUCGGAAGCAAAUAUCUUCAUUCCUUGUCUAUUAUUACCCGUAGGCUAAAGAUAUCAAUAGAUCCAAGACAUUUGGCCCACCUCCUUUCAACUUGUACAAGUAUUUGCAAGUUGAGUAUAGCAGCAGAGAUAAGUAAGUUACCAGAGUAUCACUACUUCUCUUCACAUCUCACUUACAUACGGUUGAGAUGGUGCAAGUUUGAGGAAGAUCCAAUGCCAACACUAGAGAAGCUGCCUAACUUAAGGAUUCUUGAAUUCGAAUGUUCUUUGAAAGGAAAGUAAAUGUUUUGCUCUGCUCAGGGUUUUCCUAAACUUGAGUCUCUAAUCCUUGCGGAGGUCGACAAUUUGGAGGAAUGGGAGGUGGAUGACGGAGCCAUGCCUUCUCUUCAGCGAUUGGAUAUCAGGCAUUGCCCAAGCUUGAAGAUGCUUCCAGAGGGAUUGAGCUCCAUUACAACCCUCAAAGAACUGAAGAUUGAAUCAAUGCCAAAGGCAUUCAAAGAAAGAUUGGAGAAAGGAGGAGAAGAUUUCUACAUAGUCAAAGAUGUUCCUUCUAUCAUACUCCAAUACUGUGGCUAAUAAAUUGAAUGAUAAUUGAGAGGUAAUUUCAUAACCUCUAGUUUAGGAAAUGAUUCCUACUUUCUUUGCUUCUUAUAUAUCUUCCGUUUUUGACAAUGUCUCACAUUCUCACUCAAUUUGUCAACACACCAAUGAAUAAUUACAUUUAUUAAAAGUCAAAGGAAGUCAUCUUUUUAGUUUUGCUUUUCAGGUAAAGACGCCAUUUUUUCACCUACUACUAUAAUGGCGUGUGAAAGUGUGUUAUAUGGUGAGAUUUGGAAUUAUCUUCUCUCUUGUAUAUAUUGUUGGAACAUUUUCAAAUAUUUAUAGUAUCCCAAUAACUAUAAAUGAAUGGGUGUAAUUAAUCAAAAGAUAAAUCUUUUGGUCAUUGGUCAAAAGUUAUAUCAUUUGAUUUUUUAAAAAAGAAUUAUAAUUAUUCAAAAAAUAUUAUUUGAAUAGUUACAAAAUUAAAGGAAUAAUUAUUAUUAUUUAUUUAUUCAUAAAGACACCUAUUGAAAGAUGUCUCUAUGAAGAGACAUGAAAAUUCCUAUAAAUAGGAAUGGGAUUUCAUUUGGAAAUCAUAUCAACAAAUUCUAAUAUUAUUUCUUCUCUUCCUUCAUUUUCUAAUAUUAUUAGAUUAUUCUAUAAAGUAUUCCUGCAGAAAUUCUUUGUAGAAAUUGAGUUUUUGUUACACAUUACUCAGUGCAUAGUGGACUAUUCUCGUCAGUGCAAAACACAAAUAGUCAUUGGCUUCAUUGUAUCCUCGAGGUUAAUUUGCUUGGAACUCAUUUGCACACUGAAGAUAAGUGGGGGCGAAUAUAACCUUAAUGAUAGUGGCUUGAUACACGCCUUGGAGCCUUGUCCUAUUUCUUCUUUUUCUUUUCGAGUUCCGAUCGUGUGUUCGAGAUUUUCCUUACCGGAGUUUUGUAAUAACAUAUAUCUAUGGUUGUUGACUGUUUGUUGUUUUCUUCAAAGUACAAUAAAACGGUUGCAAGAUAAGGUAUUGGAAGAAUGGGAGGUGUCUGGAUUAGCAAGGUACCAAAUAAGGAGACGUCAUAAAACAUAACAUUGCAGAUAAGGAGACAUCACUGACCUUUGUUCCCACAUAGCUUUGGUUUGCGGUGACCAUUCCUAUAUUUAUUUGUUAGCUUUGCUUUCUCUUUCUUUUUUUUCCCUUAAGUCUGCUUGAGUCUUUUUCUUUUUUUAUAUGUACUUAAUGUAAUAGUAGAAGCCAAGGCAGGACCAUGCUUUUCUAUUGUAAAAUUCAUCACUUCGUUAUUUUAUAUUUGUAUGUUGACACAUUUCCCGUUUCAACAUAUUUCCUUAUUUUAUGCAAGUCGAUUGGUAUUCAUCAUAAAAAUUACGAUAUCAUAUCAAGUUUAAUGGUUACACUUCCAAAACAAAAAAUAGGAAAAAUUAAAUCUUACCAACUAAUAACACUUUCAAAUUACACUGUCUUACAAAAAAAAAAAAAAAAAAGAAGAAGAUACAAUUUGAAUUUUUUUAUCAAAUGGUUUAGCAAGCUAUGCUUUAUAAAAGAGGCAAAGGAAUCCAAGGGAAUCAAAGAUUCCAAAAUCGAUAUUUAGAUUCAAGAUUUUGUAUCCCCAUGCUUUGCUUCUUAUAUCUACCAACAAUAUCUUGAUGAUAACAAACUAAAAAAAACUAUUCAAGGGAAUCGAAGAUUUCAAAUCCAACAUAAUUGAUUGAAAAUUUCACAUCCACUUAAUUAAUUCAAAUGAUAUUUAGUCAAUAAGUUUAAAUUAAAAACUGCAAGAAUCUUCAUUUAUCUUUUAUUCGAAAUGUAAUUCGGAUUCAAUGAAAAUAUUGAACAUAUAAUGUGUGCACAUGGAAAUGUCCAAAUCUUUAAAUAUAGGGUCGACAUGGGAGAAAUCUCCUCAGACAUUGAAUUUAUUGAGUGCAUUUUCAGAGGAAAAUCCUGAAACAUGUUACAGGCAAAUAUUAAGAAAAACAAUGCACAAGCAUAAGUACAAAAACAUAGCAUGCAAGAAAUCAAUACUUGAAAGGAUUAAAAUCACUGCUAACCUAAGACAUUGAAUCUAGCACCACUAGGAAACAUCCGAAAUGAUACUUGUCUUUCAAUGUUGAGAUACAUACGUCCAAGUCUGCCAUGUUGCGCCAAACUGGAAUUCAUCAACCUNNNNNNNNNNNNNNNNNNNNNNNNNNNNNNNNNNNNNNNNNNNNNNNNNNNNNNNNNNNNNNNNNNNNNNNNNNNNNNNNNNNNNNNNNNNNNNNNNNNNUUAUAUAUAUAUAUAUAUAUAUAUAUACAGACACACACACAGAUAGACAUGAAGAAAGUGGGUUAAUGGUGUAUUAUUUAAGUAAAGAAAAAGUUGAAAUCUUAAACCUCUAAAUAUUGGGUAACAGCUAGUGUUAAAAGUGCAUAAAGUUCUUCUAUUAUCUACAAGAAACAAUGGAGGAAUCACAUACAUUGUUUAUAUUCACUUUUCUUGCUACACAAGCAAGCUGAGUCCAUAAACAAAGGCAUACCUUUUCUCCGUUUUUAAAUGGUUUUCUUGUUUCUUGGCUGCUUUUUAUAUUAAGAAGAGAGAUUGUGAGACCUCGUCAUCCUCAAGGAGUAAGUGGUCCAGCAUGAAGAUGAUGGGAAGACCAUGAGUCGAUGGUGGUCAAUCCAUGAGUUGAUUAUGAGUAGUUUCAUGUUAUGAAAUAAAAAUGUUAGCUAAAGUUAGUUGAACGCUGUGUUUUAGGGUUGAGGGUUUAAUGAAACUAUCAGUUUUGAUGUUGAAUGAAAAUGGUGCGUAUUGACGGUUUGUUACAACUGCUCGAGGAACAGCCCUAUAACAGACUUUGUAACUGCCAAUUCUCAGCCAUAAUAGAAACUGGCAUGGGAAAUGGGCAGAUAUGCCAUUUUGUGAAGGAAAUCAAUUCUUUCUUCUUCCUUGAUUCUCUUUCUCUUCUCUCUUUUUCUUUCUUCCUCUAUUCUGUUGAAAUUAUGCAUCACUUCACCAGUAUUCAUCAUUGUGGACGUAUCUGAUCUUCAGUCUCUGGUUUACUGCCCAUGUAAAGUUAUGGAAAGAAAUGCAAAUUUAAAAGGAUUUCUUGCUAUAGUCUAUGCAAUUUCAUGUGUGCGUGAAAGGAGAUGAAGAUUAAUAGAGUAAUACUGAUAUACCAACAAUUCAUUAAUUGAAGUACUAUCAAUAUUAUCAACAAGUAACAGGAUUAAGUGAGUAUACUAAUAUAGUCUAGAAAAGCAAUUUAAUUAAUAAUACCAUAGGGAUGGCAAGAGGGUGAAGUUGCUAUUGCUAUUUAUAUCUCAGCUGCUAGCUUUUGACGACUUCACCAAGUAAACUGCAAUCACAAGUGUUGUUCUUAUUACCUGCAAAAACAGAGCCAACAAUCUGAAUCCAUAUCCCCAUUUUAGGAACAANNNNNNNNNNNNNNNNNNNNNNNNNNNNNNNNNNNNNNNNNNNNNNNNNNNNNNNNNNNNNNNNNNNNNNNNNNNNNNNNNNNNNNNNNNNNNNNNNNNNCCGUAUCUGACACUUAUAUUCAACACAUAUUCAUGUAUUGGUAUGAAGAUAUGAUAUUCUUAUCCUAUACUCAUAUCCGUGCUCAGGUAACAUAAACUGAACCCGCAAGAUAACUGAUUUAACAUUGCAUUGCUGCUAGCUAUUGAUGAUUUCACCAAGUAAACUGCAAUCACAAGUGUUGUUCUUAUUCCUUGAAAAAACACAGUCAACAAUCUGAAUCCACAUUCCCAUUUUCGGAACAAAACCAUGGCGUACCAUUUGUUUCAAAGCCCAAUCAACUUCCUUUACCAUCUUCCCCUUAUAAAAACCAUGAAUCAACUUCUUGUAUGAAUCAAAACUAGGAUUAACCCUCUCGAAAACCAUUCUCCCCAUAAUCUCCUUUGCUUCCAUAAACCUCGCAGCAUCAAGCAAACCAUACAACACCUCUUGAUAAGACCCUGCAUUGGGAUAACACCCUUUCUUUUUCAUAAUUUCCAACAGCUUCACACCUUCAUCAAUCCUACCUUGUUUCCUAAGACCUGAAAUCAAGAUAUUAAAGCUAACAGCAUCAGCAUCGAUUCCUUCCGUUUCCAUCCUCCCCAUCAACUCAAAAGCUUCAUCAACCUUCCCCUUAUCGCACAACCCGUGCAUUAAAGUAGAAUAAGUUCUAACAUUAGGCUUACACCUUUGUUUAGGAAAUUCAUCGAGCAGUUGGAAUGCAAACUCUAAUUUCCCAUUUUCACACAACCCUUUAAUGAGAAUAUUCAGAGUACAAGCUUCGAUUUCAACACCCAAAUUGGGAGGUAAACCUCGUGAACAACAUCAAAUAGUUUGUUCGAUACGAGUAAGCUCAAUACGAUAUUGAAGGUUUUAACACUAGGCCAAGUCCCAUAUUCUGGCAUACUAAAAAGGAUCUCGAUUGCCCUUUUGAUUCGANNNNNNNNNNNNNNNNNNNNNNNNNNNNNNNNNNNNNNNNNNNNNNNNNNNNNNNNNNNNNNNNNNNNNNNNNNNNNNNNNNNNNNNNNNNNNNNNNNNNNNNNNNNNNNNNNNNNNNNNNNNNNNNNNNNNNNNNNNNNNNNNNNNNNNNNNNNNNNNNNNNNNNNNNNNNNNNNNNNNNNNNNNNNNNNNNNNNNNNNNNNNNNNNNNNNNNNNNNNNNNNNNNNNNNNNNNNNNNNNNNNNNNNNNNNNNNNNNCAGCCAGUCUUUGUGGGUUAGUUUGAAAAGGGCAGGGGAAGUGGAGUGGGUUGGUUGAUGGUAGCUGGAAAAUGAGGAGAAAAACGAAAGGGGUUUAAGAGAUGAGAUUUUAGUGGCGAUUGGAUGGUGAAAAAGUGAGGGAAAAUUUUGGGGGUAAGAGCUUUUGACAGAAGAAAGAAGGGAACGUGAAAUCAUGCGUUUGGCCAUUGGAGAAUGUAGAAACUGGAGAGCUAAAAGCUUUGUGCUAUUCGCACUAUAAACAUAUAUAGGGUAAGGGACAGGCUUAAUACUUGUUUUGUCCCCUGUAAUAUAGUAAAAAAUCUCAUUUUGACCCUUUUCCUUUACUUUGUCUGUUUACUUUCAUUUCGUCCAUCAUGUUAGUCUAUUGAUCAUUUCCGUAAAUCCCAUGUGUUAGGGUUCCUAUAUUAUAGUAUUCAUCCAUAUACUUUAACCCUCCACGUAGUCGCAAUCAAUUGGCUUAAAUGAUCACACACGAGGAUCACUAUAGUAUAAGGACCAAAGUGAGAAUUUUAUUAUUAAUUAAGUGACAAAUACGUAAACAUGCACUAAUUUUUUUAUACAGAAAUGGUCAAAGAAUUAAAGUGAUAGAUGAAAUGAAAGUAAAGGGCGCAAAGUGAUUGGAAAAUUAGUAAAAGGUUGGAAAAUAUGAAGAGAUUGUAUGAUGCAAAACUUAAAUAAUUUAUCUACUGCAAUUUUGAGGUGUAUUAAUUUGAAGUAAUGAAUCAUUGUUAUUUACAACUAUAUAUUAUAUCUCUUUGAAAUGUACAAAUAAAUUAAUGGGCAGAAUGUUUAUGAAUGUCAAAACUUUAUUUUUGCUUCUUCUUCCCUUCAAGAAUUGGUUGGAUUUGGAGAUGCCAAUUGAAAGCCUGGUUCAAAAGGAAUCGAGUUUGGAAUGCCGAAAUGAUCGGAAGCCAUGCCAAUAUAGCAAUUGGAGAGAAAAGGAUCGAUCCCAUUCCGUAAUCAUAUGCCUUAGCUAGUACCUCAGUGAACUGCCAGAGUCCGGUGUUCUCAAUAAUUGGCCUCACAGCUUGAGCAACCUGAAGGGAACUAAAAUGUCAGAGGGAAUAAGGCAAAAGAUGUAAACUCUAGACAAAAACUAUAUGCCGAUCCUCUAAAUAUAUGAACAAAUUUAAAAAAAAAAAUUGGCCAUGCCCGUAUUUGAUACUUAUUGUUGAAUUCGAGUAACAUAGUCAACUAGACAUACCAAAAUCAGACCCCAUCCAGUCAGCAGAAAUGCAAGACAGCAGACAAGUAAAUCCUUGAACGACAGUUCACAGAUGACUGAGAGACUAAUAACAAUGGCCAAAAUCCUUUACAAUUGUUUGAUUCCUCAGUCAUAUUGCCUUGGAAUCUUCGGAAGUCAAGACAAGUCUAGCUCAUCAGCUUUGCCAUUCAUCUUGAAACUCCAAGCCAAUAUGUCGUGCGUGAACCCAGGCUAUAUAAACAAUGCAAAUAAAAUAUAUGAAAUCACGGUGUACUGUAAGUAUAGAGAUUAAAUUGUAAUAUAGUUUUAGAUUUAUAAUGAAAUACAAAAAUAUUUCAAAAAUCGUACUCAAAGAAAGUAUGAACUAAAAUUGAAUUAAACAUUAACAAAGAAUAUGCAAAACUAAGUCUAAAUAGCUACUUCCUUAAUUAUGAUAGUAUGAUUAAACAUAAAUUGAAAGUAUAAAACUGGUAGACAAAUCAAUGAGAAAUGACAAACAAUAGUUCAUUAAUAUCCAUGAUUGUAAUUAAUCUAGACUUAUUCUACCAAAUAAUCAAUUUAGUCCUCUUAUCUUUCGAGCUGAUGGAUCUAAAUGGGACAACUGAAUCAGUUCUAGAUAAAAUCUCCUUUCAAUCUCAUCUACUUAAAUUUUCAUCUAGAGUCAUCAAUUUGAUCCAAUUAAUCAACUCAAAGCCUAGAAUUAAAUUAACUAUUCUCACUUCAAUUAACCAACUUUCUCAAAAAUUUAGUUAAGACCCAUUCUAAUGAUACUAGACCCACUUAAUUCGUAAACCAUGAAUAAAGUUAAUGAUACGAAAGAAUAGAGUUGAGAGAUGCGCAAUAAUCCAAAAAUUUCUGAUUGUGGAUAUCUUCUUUGAGUAGCAACUGAAAUUCUCAUAACGAAAGCGUGAAAUGAAAAAAUAAAUAUAUUUUUAUUAAAAUGAGUAUGAAGCGAGUGAAAUGAAAAAGAAAGGAAAACGGAUAAGGCUCCGAUUAAAGUUACUUUAAACAAGUAAAUAUAUUUUAUUCAAAUUUAUAGUUUAUUAUAUUUAUCUGUAAUCCUCACUUUAAAAAAGCAUUCCAAAUAUGCUUCCUCACUAGAGGUAAUAAUGGGUUGGACGGCCCGGCCUGACGGCCCACCCGAAAUAUGGGAGGAUUUGGGUAAAAAUAUAAGCCCGAAAUAUGGGUUUGGGUAAAAAAUGAGACCCGUUUAGAAAACGGGCUGGGCCUUAGGCAAAAAGUUUUUGGCCUGGGCCGAGCCUGGACAAAAUUUUAGUCCCAUAUUUUGGGCCGGGGUAGGCCCAGGGAUAGGACGUAGGCUGAAAAUUUUUUUUGGGCCUUGCCCGAACCCAGCCCGGCUCGGCCCAUGAUCACCUCUGUUCCUCACCUUAUCAUUUUUGCUUUUUUUCAAGUGCCAUUAUAAUUUUUGUUAAUCUUUCUUUUCCCUUAAUUAAAGCUUGAUGACUUAUAUUAUAUAUAUCCAUUUUAAAGAAAAUGUCACUAAAUUAUUGCUUUCGUUCUGUUUUGGUUAUUAAAUUAUUAAUUUUUUCGAUUUCGUUACUAAAUUUUUCGAAAUUAAUUAUUUUGAUCACUUUCUCGUUAAUUGUCAUUAGAUAAGUGAGGAAAAGCUAACACAAGUUUAUUUUAUUGUUCAAAGUAAUCCCUAUAUAUUAAAUAAAAAUUCAAUUUAAUUAUUGAAUUAAACUAAAAAUUCAAAUAAACUCAUAAUAUUACAACUUUUUUAUUAUAUAUAAUAUUUCCAAAUAAUAAAUUUAAAUUUAUUAUGAUUAUCAAACUUUUGUUUCAAUAUACCUACUAUAGUAUAUUUUCACUUUUUAAAUUGAUUAUAAUUAUUUUUUAAAUGUUAAUUUAAUAAUACGAUAAAAAAAUAAAUGAUAUUUUUAUCGAUUUAAUUUUUUUAAACUUAUGCUUUUAUAGAUAUUAUAGAUGGAUUAUAGAUUAUAGGAAUAGGGUCUAAUGGCUAAAAAGAAAAAUUAUGUACCGGCUAUGUGAAGGCAUUAUACAAUGGAUCAUCAAAGUAGAAAGAUUAGUAUUAGAUAAAGUGAAAGUGAGUGUCCUCCACUCAUUUUACUUUUAAAAAAAAAAAUUUAAACAAAAAAGACUUUACUUUUGUUCUACGAACCUUUCUGUUUGUAGGAUUUCUGCACUCACAUCUUGAAAUCCAAAUUCAAGAUUUUAAAGAAAUUUCUGAGCUUACUCACUAUUAUGGCUUGGUCUGCUGUGACAUCUGCAGUGACAACAAUUGGCAACCUACUAACUCAGGAAGCCAUAUACCUAUGGGGUGUGGAGGAGCAAGUUAUGGAUGCAAAGCUCCUUAAUGGAGGCAGAGACAAAACAAUCAAAGGAUGAGAGGAUUCGUCUGUGGCUUGCUGAAAUCAGAGAGCUUGCUUAUGAUGCUGAGGAUAUUGUUGAGGAAUUUGCUCUCAAGAUUGGAUCCAAAAACAAAGGUGGCCUUCCGAGUUGUAUUAAAAGAUCAGCCUGCUGUUUGAAAGAGGGAUGGGUGCUCCAUGAAACCAGGUCAAAGAUCGAGAAAAUCAUAGAAAGAAUCAACGACUUGGUCCGGCGACUACAGGCCUACGGAGUAAAGGAAUUAAAGGACAGAGGAGAAGAAUCAAGUUUUUCAACUGAAAGACGAGAAUCAAGGCGGCCUUAUCCACAUAUUAUGGAUGAUAAUAUUGUUGGACUAGUUGAUGAUACCGAGGGAUNNNNNNNNNNNNNNNNNNNNNNNNNNNNNNNNNNNNNNNNNNNNNNNNNNNNNNNNNNNNNNNNNNNNNNNNNNNNNNNNNNNNNNNNNNNNNNNNNNNNNNNNNNNNNNNNNNNNNNNNNNNNNNNNNNNNNNNNNNNNNNNNNNNNNNNNNNNNNNNNNNNNNNNNNNNNNNNNNNNNNNNNNNNNNNNNNNNNNNNNNNNNNNNNNNNNNNNNNNNNNNNNNNNNNNNNNNNNNNNNNNNNNNNNNNNNNNNNNNNNNNNNNNNNNNNNNNNNNNNNNNNNNUUGAUGAUGUUUGGACCAGUGAAGCUUGGGAUAGUCUAAAACCUGCCUUUCCAGUUGCAACGGGCCGUGAUAGCAAUAGCAAGAUAUUGCUCACCUCUAGAAACAAGGGGAUAGUUUCAGAUGCUGAGAUAAGAGGUAAAAUUUUCUUAAUUAGGUAAAAUUGAAUACUCUUAUUCCUUUGAUGGAAAAUAACCAUGUAUAUUAUUUCAGAGUUGAAGUGCCUAAACGAUGAAGAAAGUUGGGAAUUGUUUCAAAAGAUUGUAUUUCCUCAAACAGGUAAAUAUACGUAUAGCAAAAUUCUUGUUAUAUGCUAAAUUUAUUUUUCAUUUAAAAUUUUUUUUUGGUGAAAGUAAGGACCUUAUCUUUGAUAUGCCUCAAAGUUAAUGUUUUCGAAAGCCCCCACAAAGAAGGGACACCCAAGUAGGCGUCCGAAUUAUUUGCCACCUCUAAGUUAGUCUCUUCUUGAAUCAACCUUUCGUUGUCCCUUUGGGAGUAUUCACACUAAAAACGUUGCUUGAUUUAUCAUAGUUGACCCUUCGUCCAGAAGCUGCACAAUAUUCUUGAAUCAAGUUAAUCAUUCUCCUACAAUUUAACGAACUAGCUUCCAAAAAGAAUAGAAAUCGUUCGUGAAUAACAAAUGUGACACUACUGGAUAAUGACUACUAAGGCUAAUCCCAGAAAUAAAACUAGACUCGACUCUAAUAAUAAUCACUACCCCUAGAACUCCUUUCAAUAUAUUCACCAUGAUCUUCGAUAUGAUUUAAUACUUAAAAUUACAAGGACUAAUUGACCUAAAUUAUGUCAUUAAUUCAAGACAUUUAGUUUUCAGAAUUAAAAUUAUUUCAAUCUCGUUCAAAAAUUUCCCUUCCCUUAAUAGCUUCCAAAACAUCCUUUUUAAUAAUUUCCCAAUAAUUAUUAUAGAAAAUCCCGUUAAAAUCAUUUGCAAAAAAAGAGAUUAAUUUAAUUGUUUUGUAUGCUUAACUUGUACAAUAUAAGUAAAAUCUUAUAAUUUUAUCUCCAAAUUCUCUCAACACAAUUUUCUGACCCUUAUUUAUAAUCUCAUUUGCAUCACACAGGAUAUCCAAUUUAAAAUUAAAUAAUUUUUUUUAUAUAAUUCUUUAAAUAUUAAAAGUAUUUUCCUCUAUUAUUUUUUUUUGUUGGAGUAUUAAAUAUUAGCCUUGAAACCAUAAGGCAGGAACUAUUCCAAACAACCCUUAAAAAGAUAUGUAAAUUUUGUUUUUGAAUAUCAUUUUUACUUUUUUAGAUUUCAAAUUGGAUAAUGAACUAUAUAUUUAUUCAUUCGAAACUCCUCUUAAAUUAGUGAGAGUGAAGUUUCUUAUUUAGUAUUGAUUGUUCCAUAAAAUUUUCAAAGUUUUCAAAGUUUUCAAAUAGAUUUAUUUUUUCAAGUGUAGUUAAUAACCGCAAUAAAAAUUAAACUUUAUAAGUGAUAAAUUUAUAUUAAAAAUUGUUUGAUAUAUUCAUAAAAUAUAAGUUUGAGUUCAUCUACUUUUACAUUUCUUUUACCUAUUUAAAUUAUUUCUUAAUUUUCCUUAUUUUUUAAAAAUUUAUUCUUAAUUUUUUAUAUAGGAAAUAUAAUCGACGUGGAAAUGAAAAAGUUAGGAGAGAACAUGGUUAAACAUUGUGCAGGGCUUCCAUUAGCCAUUGUUGUGUUGGGAGGAAUUUUGGCUACAAAGAAUAAUUCAUUAAACGAAUGGCAAAAGAUAUCUGACAAUGUAAAAUCAUACUUGAAGAGAGGCAAAAAUCAAGGACCAAAGGAUGUGUUAGCAUUAAGUUAUGAUGAUUUGCCUCCUUAUCUAAGACCAUGUUUCCUCUAUCUAAGCCAUUUUCCGGAGGAUUAUAUGAUAGAUAUGGAUAGAUUGAUUCAAUUAUGGGUUGCUGAAGGUAUUGUGUCAUCAAAGCAAGAAGAAAGAGACGGUGGGGAAAUUGCGGAAGAUGUGGCGGAAUCUUAUUUAAUGGAGCUUGUGGAAAGGUGCAUGAUUCAAGUACGAGAAAGAGAUGUGGCAACCUUAAAGGUCAAAACAAUUCAGAUGCAUGAUCUGAUGAGAGAUCUUUGCUUAUCAAAGGCAAAACAAGAAAAUUUUGUCUUCAUUGUCGAUCAAUCAAAUGCAUCUUCAUUAUCUAUGAUUCGGAAGGUUCGUAGGGUUUCUGUGCAUGAGUUUUUUUUCAUACAAUGCAUUAAAAGUCCAAAUAUUCGGUCAGUUUUGUUCUUCGAUGAGUUCUUUCCGGAGGAGGCAUUAGAAAAAUCUUUGCCCUUGGAAGUGUUGAAUUACGUUGAAGAACAUGUAGAUGAAGUUCGUAAUCCACUUGUUUGGAUUCUUAUGAUUUCGCUAGGUUGUACGAGACUUCUUAAAGCUCGGGGAAUUUGGAGAUACAUGUUCAACAACUUCAAAUUGCUAAGAGCCCUAAACUAUGAGAGAACAGGAGGUUAUCCUUUUGUAGGGUUUAAGUUACCCAGAGAUAUAGGAAAUCUCGUCCAUUUAAGAUUCUUGAGUCUAAAGGAUCAUGAGUUCUUAUGGCCAAAGUUGCCAUCAUCUCUACGCAACUUAAGGUGCUUGCAAACCUUGGAUUUAAGAGUUGGUUGUGGCAUAAUUCAUUUACCUAAUGUGAUAUGGAGGAUGGAGCAACUAAGACAUUUAUAUCUCCCUUUAAGAUGUAAAAGCAGUACUAAGUUGAAGUUGGGUACUUUGAGAAAACUCCUAACACUUGUGAACUCAACACCAAGAAUUGUUAUCUGAAGGAACUUAUGAACAUGACAAAUCUUAGAGAGUUGGAAAUAAAUUCGCCCUUCAAUAUUGAAAAUUUCAAUGAGACGGAGUUGGGCGAGAAUCCACCCAUAAUCGGAAGUAAAUGUCUUCAUUCCUUGUCUAUUAUUACCUCUGGGGACGAAUCAAUAGAUCCAAAACAUUUGGCCCAUCUCCUUUCAAAUUGUACAAGUAUUUGCAAGUUGAGUAUAGAAACAAGGAUAAGCGAGUUACCAGAGUAUCACUACUUCUCUUCACAUCUCGCUUAUAUAGGGUUGAGAUGGUGCAAGCUUGAGAAAGAUCCAAUGCCAACACUAGAGAAGCUGCCUAACUUAAGGAUUCUUGAACUCGAAAGUUAUUUCGAAGGAAAGGAAAUGUUUUGCUCUGCUCAUGGUUUUCCUAAACUUGAGUCUCUAAUCCUUACUGAGGUCAACAAUUUGGAGGAGUGGAAGGUGGAUGAAGGAGCCAUGCCUUCUCUUCAGCGAUUGGAGAUCAAGGGUUGCCUAGGAUUGAAGAUGCUUCCAGAGGGAUUGAGGUUCAUUACAACCCUCAAAGAACUGAAGAUUGAAUCAAUGCCAAAGGCAUUCAAAGAUAGAUUGGAGGAGGAAGGAGGAGAAGAUUUCUACAAAGUCAAACUUGUUUCUUCUAUCAUAUUCCAAAACUGUGGCUAAUAGAUUGAAGGAUAAUUGAGGGGUAAUUUCAUAACCUCUAGAUUAGGAAAUGAUUCCUACUUUCUUUGCUUCUUAUAUAUCUUCCAUUUUUGACAAUGUCUCACCUUCUCACUCCAUUUGUCUACACACGAAUGAAUAAUUAGAUUUAUUAAAAGUUAAAGGAAGUCGGACAUUGAUAUUUUUAGUUUUGCUUUUCAGGUAAAGAAGCCAUUUUUUCACCUGCUACUGCUAUUUACGGGAUCAAGUCUAGAUUUAAAACUCCUAUUAUAAGUUGCGUGUGAAAGUGUGUUAUAUGGUGAGGUUUGGAAUUAUCUUCUCUGUUGCAUAUAUCUAUGGUUGUUGACAUCAGACUGGUUGACUGUUUGUUGUUUUCUUCAAAUUACAAUAAAACGGUUGCAAGAUAAGGUAUGGGAAGAAUGGGAGGUGUCUGGAUUAGCAAGGUACCAAACCCCUCCUCCAUUUUAAUUUCCUUCAAUCUAAUUUAAUUACACAUUCAUUUUUGUCUUUUCAAACAUAAAAUUGCAGAUAAGGAGACGUCACUGACCUUUGCUCCGACAUAGCUUUGGUUUGCGUUGACCGUUCCUAUAUUUAUUUGUUAGCUUUGCUUUCUCUUUCUAUUUUUUCCCUACUUAAGUCUGCUUGAGUCUCCCUUUUUUUAUAUGUACUUUACCUAAUAUUAGAAGCCAAGGCAGGACCGUGCUUUUCUAUUGUAAAAUUCAUCACUUCGUUUGUCAAUGUUCAUUUCUACUCUUCAGUUUACUUAAAUAUAAUUGUUUGAUAUAUAUUUGAAUAUGAAGAAUAUAAUCUUUUUAAGAUAUACAUAUUUUAGAAAAAAUUGAAUAUAUGUAUGUCGGACACAUUUCCCGUUUCAACAUAUUUCCUUAUUUUAUGCAAGUCGAUUGGUAUUCAACAUACUCUUUUCCGUCAUCCUUAACUCAAUAAUCUUUGUUACGAUAUCAUAUCAGGUUUAAUAGUGGCAGUUCAUCCCCACACUUCCAAAGCCAAAAAUAGGAAAAAAAUUAAAUGUUACCAACUAAUAACACUUUCAAAUUACAUUGUCUUACAAAAAAAAAAAGAUACAAUUUGAAUUUUAGCAAGCUAUGCUUUAUAAAAGGCAAAGGAAUCUAAGGGAAUCUUUCAUUCAAGAUUUUGUAUCCUCAUGCCUUGCUUCUUAUAUCUACCAACAAUAUCUUUGUGAUAAUAAACUAAAAAAAAAACUGCAAAUCCAACUUAAUCGAUUGGAAAUUUCACAUCCACUUAAUUAUUUCAAAUGAUAUUUAUUCAAUAAGUUUAAAUUAAAAACUGUAAGAAUUUUCAUUUAUCUUUUAUUCAAAAUGUAAAUCGGAUUCAAUGAAAAUAUUGAACAUAUAAUGUGUGCACAUGGAAAUGUCCAAAUCGUUAAAUAUAGGGUCGACAUGAGAGAAAUCUCCUAAUGCCCAACGUUAAAUAUUUAUAAAAUUCAAUAUGAUCCUAUUAUUUUCGUUAUAAAACUCAAUAUCUUAUUCGGAUUAGGAUACAAGCGAAUAACAGAUAACUAUUUGUCGUUCAAGGUAUGAUAAAAUCUCAGUAGCUAAGAUAUGAAUGUUGCAAAAUACCAUACAAAAUCACAGCCACAUUUGUUAGUAUGGCUAUUUUGGGUAAUCAAAGGAAAAAAAUGUUAGCUGUUGAGCAAACAAGGUGAACAGAUUAGAUAUUCCAAUUACGUUCAAGCACUUGACAAAUCCUUUCUGCAAUGGCUUCAGCACGCAUCCUAGGACCUUCAUCAUCUGCAAAAAUCGACCAUUUCUAACAACUAAGCUAACAUCACACAUGAUAAUAUAUGUAUAUAACAUAUAUAGAUGAUGAUUAUGUGGAUUAAAAGCUAUGUUAGUUUGACUCAAUACAUGACCAUGGGACAUGCACGAUUCUUCAAUAACGANNNNNNNNNNNNNNNNNNNNNNNNNNNNNNNNNNNNNNNNNNNNNNNNNNNNNNNNNNNNNNNNNNNNNNNNNNNNNNNNNNNNNNNNNNNNNNNNNNNNUUAAAUACAUCAAUAUCUAACAUUUACAUCUGAGUUCGAGUAAAGUAAAACAUGUCAUUCUACCUAAACAUGCAAAAUAUCCAAGACUCUUGACGAAUGUUAGAUACAAAUAUGUAGAAUGUACCCAAAAUACCCAUCUCGAACUCAGUAGAGAAAUAUCUAGCACUCAAAAGGCACUAGCUUCAACCAAGAACAAGGAAGUUUCUUCAAAGGCUUGAUAUACUUUCUUCACGGCCAUAUAUAUGUGUGCAUAUACCCAUAUUAAGGACGAUUGUUUUGGCAAAGAGGAUGAGAAGAUAGAAAGAAAACCUUUAAUCCAAUGACAAUAUUUGAUUAUAACAACAUGACACAUAUAAUUGUGAUUAAAAUUGUGGUCACAAACAUGUUUGCAAUCACAUCAUGUUAACGAAUACUAUCGCAAUCAAUUGCAAUAAAUAUCCACAACAAGAAGAGCGAAAAUCCUAAAAACAACAAAGAUAAUACAUUACAGCUGUUAAAGAAUUUUCAAUAACAUAUAUACCUGCAAGAUUUUCAGUGAUGACACAACAAAGUUCACCACCAGACAACUUCCCGAUCUAAUGAAAUUUUCAAACAUAUCAUAAGUUUCAAGAUCAACUGAAACAUGCGAAUACUGUUGGUGUUAAGAGGUAACAGCAAGCUGAUUUGAGCUUGCUUAUACAGCAAGGCUCGAGGCUUGCAGAAGAAACAAUUGAAGAAAGAAACAGAAAAUGAAGCUUGCGAAUGGAAAACAGAAAAGAAAGAAAAAGUUUGAAUGAAAACAAGCUAAAAUUUUCAUUAAUUGUCAAAGAGGCAUAAUGCCAUUAUAUAUAUGAGUUAACAAUCACAAAAUAAACAAGUUACUACCUAAACUUAGACCUAACACCAUUAAUUUACAUUGAACUUGUUAAAUUUGCUUGAGUACAUAAACAAGUCACCUAAACUUGUCAUUCAGCACCUAAUUACAUCAAAAUGCAGCUACCAACUAAGUUUUAUUCAAACUAGAAUACAAAACAUUCAUUAAAGAAACUAAAUGAAACAAAAUAACUUCAGUUUGCUGCUUGAAGCACGUUCUCUGCAUGGCCACCUUGGCUGCUGCAUGGGGGCUGACUUCAACACUCUUCCUCAGCUUCUAUGCUGCAGACUCCUAGUUGCUUUCUUAGGCUUAGAAAUCUCGUUGUACCAAGAGACUUUGUAAAGAUAUCAGCAAUUUGAUUUUCAGAGCUGCAAUAAAUCAGCUCGAUCUCUCGAGCUUGUUCCAGUUCUCUUAUCACAUGCAACUUUAUGUUGAAGUGUUUUGUUCUGCCAUGAAAGACUGGAUUUUUGGCAAUUACAAUAGCUGACUUGUUGUCACAAUAAAUCUUGGUUGCUUCAUUAAAUUCAAAUCAGUGAGGAUUUUUCUUAGCCACAUAGCUUGAUUAACAACAUUAGCAGCUACUACAUACUCUGCUUCUGCUGUUGAUUGAGCCACCAUUGUUUGUUUUCUUGAACUCCAACAAAUCAUAGUUGAGCCAAGUGUAAAAGCAUAACUAGAAGUGCUCUUCAUAUCAUCUUUUGAACCAGCCCAAUCGCUGUCAGUGUAGUCAAUCAAUUUCAACUCUUCAGCCUUUUUAAAAUGUAUUCCAUGGUUCAAGGUACCUUUGAUGUACCUUAGCACCCUUUUUCCUGCUUUGUAAUGCUGCUGAUUACAACAAUGCAUGAAUAUUGACAGCAUGCUUACUGCAAAUAGAAUAUCAGGUCUCGUUGCUGUCAAAUAUAACAAGCAGCCAACAAGGCUUCUAUAAUCUGUUCCACUGAUAGGUUCAUGAUCUUCUUGACUCGAUAGUUUCAUGCCAACAACCAUAGGUGUGCUGGUUGGCUUGUAGUUCUCCAUUGAAAAUUUGGCUAGAACUUUCAAAGCAAAUGAUUUCUGUCCCAAGAAGAUUCCUUCAUCUGCUUGAUUAACUUCCAUUUCUAGGAAGUAAGUCAUCAAUCCCAGGUCUGACAUUUCAAACAUCUCCUUCAUUUUUGUUUUAAAAUCAGCCAACCUGAGUUUGUCUCCUCCAGUCACUAAAAGAUCAUCAACAAAAAGUGACACAAUGAGCUGUGUUUCAGCUCGAUUCUUUUUAACAUAGAGAGUUGGCUCACUGGCACUUCUUUCAAAUCCCAAACUGACCAGGUAUGAGUCAAUUCAAGCAUACCAGGCUCUAGGAGCCUGUUUCAGGCCAUACAGGGCUUUUCUUAGCCUAUACACCAAAUGUUCUUUACCAGGCAUUGUAAAUCCUGGAGGUUGCUCGAUGUACAUCUCCUCUUCCAACAAUCCAUUGAGAAAUGUAGACUUUACAUCCAUUUGGUGAAUUGUCCACUGAUUCUGAGCAGCUAGAGCAACCAGUAAUUUGAUUGUAUUGAGUCUGGCUAUUGGAGCAAAUGUUUCCAUGUAGUCCAGACCAUAUCUUUGACUGAAGCCCUUCAUAACUAGUCUAGCUUUCAACUUAUUUAAGCUUCCAUUUGCAUUGUGCUUUACUCGAUAGACCUAUUUUACACCAAUGAUCUUUCUGUUAGCAGGUUUCUCAACCAACUCCCAUGUUUGGUUCUUCUCGAUCAUGUUGAUUUCAUCAACUAUAGUGUGCUUCCAGCCUUCAUCUGCCUCAGCCUCUUCAAAACAGGUAGGUUCUGCUAUAGCAACCUGUGCCCUCUCAUAAAUCUCAUCUAGGGACCUUGUUCCUCUCACAGGUACAUCAUCAAUGUCUAUUUCAGGACUAAGCUGCUCGAAUUUAGCUUGAUUAGGCACCAGGUCUUCUGUAAGAGCUUCUAGCUCAUUCUUUUCCCAAUUCCAGCAAGCCUUUUCAUCAAAGAUGACAUCUCUGCUUACCUGGAUUUUGCUUGUGAGGGGAUCUAGGAUCCUGUAGCCCUUCUUAGUUGAGCUAUAGCCCACUAGGAUACUUGGUUGAGCCCUUUUUGCAAGCUUGUCCCUUUUUACUGCUGGUAUUUGUGCAUAGCACAGGCAACCAAACACCUUCAGAUGUGCCAAGGAAGGCUUGAAUCCAAACCAAGCCUCGAAAAGUGUCUUGGAAGCAAGAGCUUUGGUAGGAAGCCUAUUCUGGAGGUAGACAGCAGUGUUUACUGCCUCAGCCCACAUGCUCUUGGGCAGUUUCUUCUCAAACAGGAGGCAUCUGGCCAUAUCCAUCAGGCUUCUGUUCUUCCUUUCAGAUACCAUAUUCUGCUGAGGUGUGUACACAUUUGUUAGCUAGUGUUUGAUCCCAGCAUCACUACAAAUGGCUUGAAACUGAGCUGAAGUGUACUCAGUGCCAUUGUCUGACCUUAUCGAUUUUAGCUUGCAGCUUGUUUCUGUCUCAACAGUAAUUUUAAACUUUACAAACACUUGAGCUACCUCAGACUUGUGUUUCAAGAAGAAAAUCCAGCAAAACCUUGUAAAAUCAUCAAUGAAGAGGAUGAAAUACCUGUUUUUGCUAAGUGAUUCAGUCCUCAUCGGGCCACAUACAUCAGAGUGCACCAGCUGUAAUCUUUCAGUGGCUCUCCAUGCUGAAUUUGUAAGAAAUGGCAAUCUUGCCUGUUUUCCUAUCUGGCAAACUUCACACACAUCAUUAUGCUCCACUGAGUUGGUGAAGUUCUCAGCUAGACCCUCUUUGGCUAUUUGAGCUAUUGAUUUGAAAUUGGCAUGUCCAAGCCUUUGAUGCCAGAGCUUGGAAUUAUCAACAGAGGCUGUGUAUGCUGACUUUGAGUAAUUUGGCCAAUGAACCUCAAAGCAUUUGUCAGUCAUUGUGACUGUCAUAAGGCUUGAUCCACUUGGAUCAGCAAUGUGGCACUGUUUGUCCUUGAACACAACUGAAUAGCCUUUCUCGAGCAAUUGAGCUAUGUUGAGAAGGUUUCUGUCAAUCUCAGGCACCAACAGGACAUUUGAGAUGAUUUUGUUGCUUGUAGGAGUGCAUAACAUCACCUCUCCUCUUCCUUCAACCUUUAUAAACUGACCAUUUCCAACCUUGACCUUGGUUUUGCAACUUCUGUCCAAGGUUUUGAACAAGGAGGCAUCUGGUGACAUGUGGUUGGUGCAGCCACUAUCCAACAACCAGCCUUUAGAGCAUUUCUUCUCAGCAGCUAAGCAAGACACAGCAAAUACCUGCUCUUUUUGGUCACUACUGUCUUCAACCACUCGAGCUUUUUGCUUUUGACUGUUGAAAUUGGUUCUGCCUUGGUUUGGUUUUGUUUUUACACACCUUUUCGACAUGGCCCUUCUUUUUGCAGUGUUGGCAUACUACAUCUGGUCUAAACCAGCAUCUGUCUUCUGGAUGUCCUGGUCUCUUGCAAUAUCUGUAAGGCUGGUCACUGCUCCUUGCAGCAUCAGGCUUAGGCCUAUUUUUCCAGGGCCUUUUACCUCUAUGAGCAUUGAUGCUCGAGGCUUCUCUGGCCUUGGCUUGAAAUGCACCUUCCUGGUGAUCUUCAGCUCUGCUAGCUCUUCUUUGUUCCUGAGCAUAGAAAGUGUUAAUCAGCUCAGUCAAAGAGAUGCUAGCAAGGUCUCUUGAGUCCUCUAAGGAGGAUAUCUUUGCCUCAUGUCUCUCAGGCAAAGUGGAGAGGACUUUCUUCACGAUUCUUGCCUUAUCAAAGUGCUCACCUAGGAGCCUUAUGCUGUUAACCACUGCCAUGAUUCUAUCUACAUACUGCUUCAUUGUUUCUUCUUCCCUCAUCUUCAGAUUCUCAAAGUCUCUCCUCAAAUUCAACAGUUGUUGUUGCCUUGUCCUUUCUAUGCCUUGAAACUCCUCCUAAAGCUUAUUCCAGGCCUGUUUUGGAGUCUCAUAGGCCAUAAUUCUGGUGAAUAUGACAUCUGACACACAAUUCUGGAUGUAGGACAUAGCUUUGUGCCUUUUGGUCCUCUCAUCAGCGUGUUGUCUGAUCUGAGCUACUGUGAGAUUGGCCCUCAGUGGUGCUGGCUCAACAUCUGUGUUAACAACUUCCCACAGAUCAAAGGCCUGCAAGUAAGUUUUCAUCUUAACCAGCCAUACGUGGAAGCCUUCUCCAUUGAAGACUGGUGGGGCUGCUGGUGAAAAUCCUGAAGAAGCCAUCCUGGUUUUUUGGUUUGAUAUAUCAGGUCCACUAAGACAAGGGCUCUAGAUACCAAUUCUUGGUGUUAAGAGGUAACAACAAGCUUGUAAUGCCCAAUUUUAGCCCGAGCCCAAAACCAAAACAUACAGUCCAUUACAAAUAAAAUUAAUUACAGGCCCAAAAUACCCAACAGGCCCUAAUUAAGAAACCCUAGCCCAAAAACAUAAUUUUUUUUCAGUACCAAACCCUAGCCCCCCUAAGCAUGCGCCGCAUCCCCUUGUCGGCCACUCCCUCGCGCCGCCCCCACCAGUCCCGUCGCCAGGCCGCUCGUGCCGCCCAAGGUGCCCCUCUGUCACACUCCUUUUGACCGAAAUAGCCACCUCCAGACAGAAAAGCAAAAAGAAGAACAAUUAAAAUGAUAGCAAGGGUAGAAGAACAGUGAUAGCAGUUAAUCUUGGCUAUAAGAGCCACGGAAAUAUCAAUGUAAAGGGAGGACAGAUUUUUAGAGUUUGAAAAAAGGGUUCCGAAAAUUUAAAAACAGAAGAAAAUAAAAAAAUAGAUCUAUUCGAAAAGCAAUUUGCAGUUUCUAUUUUGUUCUCUUUUCUUUUGUUUUGAUACAAAAAACAACUUCAAGAACUCAAAAAAGAAAAAAACAGAUCUAAAAUUUAACAUUCCAAGGUGAUUUUAUUUUCGUUUAUAUUUCUUUUCCUUUUGUAUUUAUUUAUUUUUUUCUUUUUCAAAAGAACAGUUUAUAUUUGUGCAAAAAUCAUACAUAGAAAAAUAUAUAAAAAAAUUACCUUUUAAAUUUUUCAGGCCACCGUGCACGGUGGCCGGCGCGGCGGUGGAGCGGCGGCGCUGUUCACCGGAUUCUGGGCAGUGCCCAGAAUGGGGGAGAGGAAUUGAGAGCAUUUUCAGAAAUUUUUUGGAGAAAAGAAGGGAAGAAUGAAAAUUAAAAAUAAAAACCAACUUAAAUAGGCCUCCAAAACGACGUCGUUUUGGGCAGGCCUCUCAGGCACCAAAACGGCGUCGUUUUGGCUUUGACCCGAUUCGCCCGACCCGCUCCAGGCUAGGAUCCGCGUGUUUUUAGCGGAAGGGCUAAUUGCACUUUCAGCCCUUCCGCUUUAAAAUAAUUUUACAAUCAAGGCCCCUUUUGUUUUUUUAAAUUCGCACAGUAGUUUAUUAUUUUUACAAUUUGGUCCUAUGAUGCUGUGCGUUUUGGGAAAGAGGGAAAAAUUGCUCUCUUGAUCCCUUCUUGUUGUUUGCGCGUUCAGCUUUGUCCUUCCUCUUUUAUUUAUUUAUAGAUUUGGCCCCAAAUUUUGUUUUAAUAUCUAAUUUAGCCCUUCUUUGUUAUUUUGUUUGUUUUAUUAUUAAAUUAAUAAAUGAUAUGUUAUUAUUAUUGUUAUUUAUUAUUAGUUUUUAUUUUAUAUUUAUUUAUUUAUUCAUCAUCAUUAUAUAAAUUAGUUUUGCAUUACCUUUUAUAUAUUAUAUUAUAUUAUAUAUAUUAUAUAUAUUUUUUAGUUUUUUUAGUUUUUAUAUAUAUAUAUUUUUAUCUUACUGUAUCUUUAUUAUUUAUCAUUUACUUCAAGCUUUUCUAUGUUUUCUAAAUUAUUAUUAUUAUUAUUAUUAUUAUUAUUAUUAUUAUUAUUAUUAUUAUUAUUAUUAUGUUUAUACUCUUUUAAUUUUAAAUUCUUGUUAUAUAUUUACAUAUACAAACGCAUACUUUUUAUAAUAUAUAUGUACAUAUUUUAUUUUAUUUUAUUUUAUUUUGUGUGUAAAUAUAUACAUUUUCCCGAUGCAUAUACACAUACAUUUUAAAGUUAUUAUAAAUAUAUUUUAUAUUUCAUUUUUCAUACUUACACAUACCUAUAUCUAUUUCUACGUAUUUUAUUACACAUAGAUAUACGUAUACAUAUUUUUAAAUAUUUUUUAUAUUUUCAUAAUUCUAAAAUAUAUAUAUACAUGUAUUUAUAUAUUUUUAUUUCUUUUAUGGUUUCGUUAUUUCGCGCUGUGUUUAUUUUAUUUUAUUUAUUCAUGCCCACUUUCAUUCGAAUAGUGUAUUUGCUUAUUCUUUUGCAUGUUUAAUUCGUUUUUUAUUUAUUUAUCUUUUAUUUGUUGUUACUUGUAUUAUUCAUACUUACAUUAUCGAAUUUAUUAUUGUUUUGUUAUGAGCAUUAACAUCAUGUUUUAUUUCUACUAUUACACGUUAAAUUAUUUUUCAUUCAAUGUAUAAAUUAUGAUUUUUGAAUAAACAAAAUUUCGUGUUUAGAUUUGAGAAAGUCGUACCCUAACUUACUAGGUUUUGAUUUUCACAAUGAAUAUAAAUACGUGGAUCUUUUCAAACUCAAAUUUUCAACGAUCUCGGGAUUUAUAAAAGAUCGUAUCCUAACUUACUGGGUAUGAUCCCUUUUUUAAACCCGAGAUAAUUGAAUAGCUUUUAAAUAAUUUCUUCGGCAUUUAUUCUUGAAUCGGGAAUUUAAAGACAUUGUGUCCUAACUUACGGGAUAUAAUUCUUUUUCUUGAUUAUCGUGAAAAUGCCCUUCUCUCGAAAACUUUUAGCAUUUUAAUAAAAGAUCGUAUUUUUAAAUUUCUUCAAAGUUCUCAAUUUUCGACAUUAAGACAUUAAGUAAUCAACUAGGUACCAAUUUUGGGCGUUACGAGGGUGCUAAUCCUUCCUCGUACGUAACCGACUCCCGAACCCGUUUUCUAAAUUUCGUGGACCAAAAUCGUUGUUUUAAUAAAAUUAAACUGUUUAUUAAAAACAACCAGUUUUCGAGGCGAUCCAAUCACACCUCGUUAAAAAAUGAUUGGUGGCGACUCCCACAUUCGAUUUCAUUUUUUUAAAAACCCAAGUCGAAUCCGUUUUCACCCAAAAAAUGGUGUCAACAAAGCUGAUUUGAGCUUGCUUAUAUAGCAAGGCUCGAGGCUUGCAGAAGAAACAAUUGAAGAAAGAAACAGAAAAUGAAGCUUGCGAAUGGAAAACAGAAAAGAGAGAAAAAGUUUGAAUGAAAACAAGCUAAAAUUUUCAUUAAUUGUCAAAGAGGCAUAAUGCCAUUACAUAUAUGAGUUAACAAUCACAAAAUAAAUAAGUUACUACCUAAACUUAUACCUAACACCACUAAUUUACAUUGAAACUUGUUAAAUUUGCUUGAUUACAUAAACAAGUCACCUAAACUUGUCAUUCAGCACUUAAUUACAUCAAAAUGCAGCUACCAACUAAGUUUGAUUCAAACUAGAAUACAAAACAUUCAUUAAAGAAACUAAAUGAAACAAAAUAACUUCAGUUUGCUACUUGAAGCAUGUUCUCUGCAUGGCCACCUUGGCUGCUGCAUGAGGGCUGACUUCAACAGAUACCAAUUAUGAUAAGAAAUUAAAUUAAGGAUUUUCUACUGCAAGCCUACCACGAAAACAUAAUUUUUAUUAGGAUCAAAGGCGUAGCCCAUCAUGGCAGCAUUAUUGAGUCCAUUUUCAGAGGAAAAUCCUGAAACAUGUUACAGGCAAAUAUUAAGAAAAACAAUGCACAAGCAUAAGUACAAAAACAUAGCAUGCAAGAAAUCAAUACUUGAAAGGAUUAAAAUCACUGCUAACCUAAGACAUUGAAUCUAGCACCACUAGGAAACAUCCAAAAUGAUCCUUGUCUUUCAAUAUUGAGAUACAUACGUCCAAGUCUGCCAUGUUGCGCCAAACGGGAAUUCAUCAACCUCUUGAGAGCCUAAAGGAUGAAAAGUUCAAGUCCGAGUUAUAUAUAUACAGACACACACACAGAUAGACAUGAAGAAAGUGGGUUAAUGGUGUAUUAUUUAAGAAAAGAAAAAGUUGAAAUCUUGAACCUCUAAAUAUUGGGUAACAGCUAGUGUUAAAAGUGCAUAAAGUUCUGCUAUUAUCUACAAGAAACAAUGGAGGAAUCACAUACAUUGUUUAUAUUCACUUUUCUUGCUACACAAGCAAGCUGAGUCCAUAAACAAAGGCAUACCUUUUUCUCCGUUUUUAAAUGGUUUUCCUGUUUUUGGCUGCUUUUUAUAUUAAGAGAAAGAGAGUGUGUGAGACCUCGUCAUCCUCAAGGAGUAAGUGGUCAAGCACGAAGAUGAUGGGAAGACCACGAGUCUAUGGUGGUCGAUCCAUGAGUUGAUUAUGAGUAGCUUCAUGUUAUGAAGUAAAAAUGUUAGCUAAGUUAGUUGAGUGCUGUGUUUUAGGGCUGAGGGCUUAAUGAAACUAUAAGUUUUGAUGUUGAAUGAAAACGGUGUGUAUUGACGGUUUGUUACAACUGCUCGAGGAACAGCCCUAUAACAGACUUUGUAACUGCCAAUUCGCAGCCAUAAUAGAAACCGGCAUGGGAAAUGAGCAGAUAUGCAAUUUUGUGAAGGAAAUCAAUUCUUUCUUCUUCCUCGAUUCUCCUUCUCUUCUCUUUUUCUUUCUUCCUCUAUUCUGUUGAAAUUAUGCAUCACUUCACCAGCAUUCAUCAUUGUGGACGUAUCUGAUCUUCAGUCUCUGGUUUACUGCCCAUGUAAAGUUAUGGAAAGGAAUGCAAAUUUAAAAGGAUUUCUUGCUAUAGUCUAUGCAAUUUCAUGUGUGCGUGAAAGGAGAUGAAGAUUAAUAGAGUAAUACUGAUAUACCAACAAUUCAUUAAUUGAAGUACUAUCAAUAUUAUCAACAAGUAACAGAAUUAAGUGAGUAUACUAAUAUAGUCUAGAAUUAAGUGAGUAUACUAAUAUAGUCUAGAUUUAUAAUGAAAUACAAAAAUAUUUCAAAAAUUGUACUCAAAGAAAGUNNNNNNNNNNNNNNNNNNNNNNNNNNNNNNNNNNNNNNNNNNNNNNNNNNNNNNNNNNNNNNNNNNNNNNNNNNNNNNNNNNNNNNNNNNNNNNNNNNNNNNNNNNNNNNNNNNNNNNNNNNNNNNNNNNNNNNNNNNNNNNNNNNNUUUAAUAUCCAUGAUUGUAAUUAAUCUAGACUUAUUCUACCAAUUAAUCAAUUUAGUCCACUUAUCUUUCGACCUGGUGGAUCUAAAUGGGACAAUUGAAUUAGUUCUGGAUAAAAUCUCCUUUCAAUCUCAUCUACCUAAAUUUCCAUCUAGAGUCAUCAAUUUGAUCCAUUUAAUCAAUUCAAAACCUUAAAUUAAAUUAACUAUUCCCACAUCAAUUAAGCAACUUUCUUAAAAAUUUAGUUAAGACCCAUUCUAAUGAUAUCAGACCCACUUAAUCCGUAAACCAUCAAUAAAGUUAAUGAUAAGAACGAAUAGAGUUGAGGGAUGCUCAAUAAUUUGUGGAGAUCCUCAUAAUGAAAGCGUGAAAUAAAAAAUAAAUAUAUUUUUAUUAAAAUGAGUCAGAAGCGAGUGAAAUGAAAAAGAAAGGAAAACGGAUAAGGCUCCGAUUAAAGUUAUUUAAACAAGUAAAUAUAUUUUUAUCCAAAUUUAUAAUUUAUUAUAUUUAUCUGUAAUUCUCACUUUAAAAAAGCAUUCCAAAUAUGCUUCCUCACCUUAUCAUUUUUGCUUUUUUUCAAGCGCCCUUAUAAUUUUUGUUAAUCUUUCUUUUCCCUUAAUUAAAGCUUGAUGACUUAUAUUAUAUAUAUCCGUUUUAAAGAAAAUGUCACUGAACUAUUGCUUUCGUUUUGUUUUGGUUAUUAGAUUAUUAAUUUUUUUGAUUUAGUUACUAAAUUUUUCGAAAUCAAUUAUUUUGAUCACUUUCCCAUUAAUUGUCAUUAGAUAAGUGAGGAAAAUUACUUUCUCAUUAAUUGUCAUUAGAUAAGUGAGGAAAAGCUAACACAGAUUUGUUUUAUUGUUCAAAUUAAUCCUUAUAUAUUAAAUAAAAAUUCAAUUUAAUCCUUGAAUUAAACUAAAAAUUCAAAUAAACUCAGAAUACCACAACUUUUUAUUAUAUAUAUUUCUUUUUCCAAAUAAUAAAUUUAAAUUUAUUAUGAUUAUCACAACUUUUAUUUCAAUGUAACUACUAUCAUAUAUUUUCACUUUUUAAAUUGAUUAUAAAUAUUAUUUAAAUAUUAAUUUAAUAAUAUGAUAAAAAAAUAAAGGAUAUUUUUAUCUGUUCAAUUUUUUUUAAACUUAUGCUUUUAUAGAUAUUAUAGAUUAUAGGAAUAGGGUCUAAUGGCCAAAAAGAAAAAUUAUGUACCGUCUAUGUGAAGGCAUUAUAAAAGGGAUCAUCAGAGUAUAAUGAUUAGUAUUAGGUAAAGUGAAAGUGAAUUGAUUAAGUCCUCCAAUCAUUUUACUUUUAAAUAAAAAAAAAUUAAACAAAAAAACUCUACUUUUGUUCUACCUACCUUUCUGUUUGUGUUCUCAUUCUAUUAAUUAAGUACUGCUUCUUGCAAUUGUUUUCCCAGCAAGAUUGCGGCACACACAUCUUGAAAUCCAAAUUCAAGAUUUUAAAGAAUUUUCUUAGCUCGAUCACUUUUAUGGCUUUUUCUGCUGUUGCAUCUGCAGUGCAACAAUUGGCAACCUGCUAACUGAGGAAGCCAUAUACCGAUGGGGCGUGGAGGAGCAAGUUGAUCGUCUGCAAACAGAGCUCAAUUGGAUGCAAAGAUACUUAAUGGACGCAGAGACAAAACAAUCAAAGGAUGAAAGGAUUCGUCUUUGGGUUGCUGAAAUCAAGGAUUAGGAAGGUACGAAACACCUCCACUUUAAUUUCCUUCUGCUUAAAUUAGAUGUUUUAAGUUAAUUUUUAGUUUUGAACAUGUUAAAUUGCAGGAUAAUGAGACGCCACUGACCUUUAUUCGGAUGUAGCAUUGCAUUUACAUGUUUGGUUUGCAGUGACCAUUCAUAAAUUUUGCUGUGACUACCCUGUUGCUAGUUCUUUUUUCCUACUUCGAUCUGCUCAAGUCUUUUAUGAUAUAAUUAAAUGUAAAAAUAUGUAAUAGUAGAAGCCAAGACAGGAUAUUGUAAAAUUGAUCAUUUUGUUUUUAAUGACCAUUUGUUCUCAUCUUUUUUCAUUUUUCAUAAAUGUGUCCAAUAUAUAUUUAUUGAAUAUAUUUAUGCUGGACACAUAUCCUAAUGUGGUACACUAAAUCUGAGUCAUAUUGUGCAAUAUUGGUGAAUUACUAGUUGGUGCAGAAUCAUAUACAUCGAUGUUCUGUCAUUUGUUGAAGAUAAAAGAUCCAAAGCCUCCAUUAUUAAAAUGAAAAAAAGAAAGAAAAUUGGAUAUUCGUUUCUUUCUAGAUUUAGAAUAUAGAUAUUUGUAAUAUUGAGAUGAUAAACGAUUAAUAAAUGGAUUAAAUAGGAUCUAAUGUCUAAUUACAAUCCAAGAGGAACAGGCUCCUGCCGCCAUAAAAAAUUCCAUAAUUACUUAUUUUAUUGUAUUUUUUGAUAACACAUUGAUUAUUGCAUGGAACAUUGGUUAAGAACAAAAUAGGAACCAAGAACAAACAAUGUCUUCAAACAUAUUAAAAUGACAGCUCCAAAUCCUUACUUCAAUUAUUGUUGUGUUGGGUUUAUUUUGGAUUAGCUAAUGGAAAUAAUUGAAGCUCAGCAUGACAGCAAAUCAGGUUCUUUUUCUUCUUCCUCUGUCCUUUCUCUCUAUUUAGAUACAUGUUCAUUUCGUGUUUAUUGCAGAUGUUGUCUGAAUGAUUUCUAUGAAUAUUAAUGGCAGCAAAGCUGAAACCGUAAAAUAAUGAUCCAGUAAAGUUGGUGUUUCAGUUUCUAUUUAAAUCGCAAACAACUUCCCUAUUAAUCAAACAAAUGCUCUAAACUUGAAUGUCAUGAACAUGUCAAAAAUCAUACCUUGUAGUCAUGUAUGAAUGUGAGGAAAAGUGAAGAACAGAGAACCACAGGCCACACCUGUCAUCAAUGUGUUAUAACAACAUCCUUAACAUCAUAAGCAAGCUCUUUAAUAACAAUGAAAAUUAACCAUAAAACAAAAUUGAAGGGAACUUUAAAAUAUUUUUUAAUAAUAACUUGGGAAGUACUUUAAAUGUGAAAAUUGGGUGUUUACCCAAAUGAUGAAUGGAUGUCUCCUAGGUAAAACUCCCACAAUCUAAUGGUUACAAAUUAUAUAAGUGUACAAUCGGAUUGUGGUUUCUAGAAUGUUUUAUAAACUAAUAAAUUAAAAAUUAUUUGGUGAAUUAAUAAAAUAUAAGUGUUCAAUAUAAUUGUAUAAUUAAUAUUUUUGGGUUCAUCUAUUUUUACUAUGUGCUUUUUUAAAAAAAAAAAAUUUUGGUUUAACUAUUUUUACAUUUCUUUUAUUUACUGAAAUUCAUUUUUAAUUUUCACUAUUCUUUUAAAUUUAUUUUUAAUUUUUUAUACAAAUAAUAGAAUCGAUAUGAAAAUGAAAGAGUUAAGGAAAAACAUAGUUAAACAUUGUGCAAGGCUUCCAUUAGCCAUUAUUGUAUUGGGAGGAAUUUUAAUGUGUUAACUUUAAGUUUCGAUAAUUUAUCUCUCUAUCUAAGACCAUGUUUCCUCUAUUUAAGUAUACAUAUUUUUUUAAAAUAUAUUUUCAAUUUUUUGGAAAAUAUAUAUUUUUAAUAUUUUUAGUAUUUUUGAUGUAUUUUUUUAAAAUUUAUAUGAACCGGACCGCGUUUUAACAUUUUUAUCCGGACCGAACUUAGAAAAAAUUUUAGAUCCAUUUUUUAUGCCAAACCCAAGUCUAACAAAUGGACCUAAAAUUUUAAUUAGGCACGGCUAUGAACACCUCUAAUUAUUUGUAGCUAAAAUUCCCUGUAAGUUCAAUACAAUUUACUAAAAAUUUCAGUUGAUUUACUUGUUAUAUUCAUCACCUAAAUAAAUCAACAAAUAAAUGACGAAUUAUCCCUCUAAGCUGCAAUAUGAACCUUCCAUCAAUUGUCUCUAGGUUCAGUCAUUUUAUUACAUAAGUAUUCUUAAUUAAAAAAAUAAGGAAAAAAUGUAAUUUAUUCUAAUUAAUUAUUGAGCAAAAAUAAAUAAAAGAAAUUGUUAGAGCCUCAGUUUGUUCUUCAAUUAAAAUAAAAUAAAAUAAAUAAGGAUAAUAAUUUUUAAAAAUAAAUAAAAAUUAAAACAUGAGAAAAUCAAUAUACAUUUUUUAUACUCACUAGUUUUGUUGUCAAGAACUGAAAAGCACUUCAAUUCCUUGUAUCCGAAUACAUAUCCUUUUAAAAUUUAUCGAAAAAUAUUUAUUUUAAUGUAACUUAAAAGAUAACAGCCUGGAUUUGAUUAUCAAAUUAAAAAUUCAAAUAAGUUUACAAUAUUAUCAAUUUUUUUUAAUUUAUAUAUAUAUUUCCAAAUAAUAAAUUUAAAUUUAUUAUGAUAAUUACACCUUUUAUUUUAGUAUAACUAUCAUGAUAUAUUUUUUUCCAAUUUUUUUAAAAAUUUAUUAUAAUUAUUUGUAAAUAUUAAUUUAAUAAUACCAAGAAAAAUAAAAGAUAUUUUUGUAAAUAUAUAUUUUUUUAAAUUGGUACUUUUAUAUAUAUAAUAUGGAUAGAUUAUAAAUAUACAUUGUACAUGGUGGCAAAAAAAAAUGUUUAUAGGGUAUAUGUAAAGGCCAUAUACUAUGGAUCAUCAAAGUAUAAAGAUUAGUAUUAGAUAAAGUGGAAGUGAGUUGAUUAAGUCCUCCACUCAUUUACCUACGUACUCUUCCUUUUUUCUAAUUAAAUAAGACUGAUUAGAUACUUUUAAAUAAAAUACUUUCCUAGUCUUCCUUUUUUUUUUCCCACUUUUAUUUAGUGUUAGAUAAAGUGGAAGUGAGUUGAUUAAGUCCUCCACUCAUUUUCCUACUCUUCCUUUUUUCUAAUUAAAUAAGACUGACUCUAUACUUUUAAAUAAAAUACUUUCCUAGUCUUCCUUUUUUUUUUCCCCACUUUUAUUUAGUGUUAGAUAAAGUGGAACUGAGUUGAUUAAGUCCUCCACUCAUUUUCCUACUCUUCCUUUUUUUUCUAAUUAAGUAAGACUGACUAUAUACUUUUAAAUAAAAUACUUUCCUAGCCUUCCUUUUUUCCAAUUUUAUAAUCAGCAGAUCAAGAAAGAAGUAUUGAUUUUGGGAAAUUUGUUAGUUUAGUGUUCCUUUUCACUAUUUUUAAAAAGUAUUGUAAAAAUGGUAAUUUUGAGGAGUACUUUUAGAAAGUUUAGUUUAAGAUUUAAGUAUUUAGUAUUACUGUAAAAAAAUACUUUUGAUAAAUAAAAUAUCUAUUUUAGAUAUUAUGUUAUAAAGUAAAAAAUAUGUAUUUAAAUAAUGUUUAAAUUAGUUAAUAUUAUGAUAUCUUAGUAAGAAUAUAAAAAUAAUUUAUUAUAAUUUGUUGUUAAUAUUUUAAUAUAUGAAAUAUAAAUUUUAAUUUUUUUAAGUAACUAAUAUUAAUUAUUCAUAAAAUCUAAUUCGAAUAUAUAAACAAUAUUUUAAAUAAUAAAAUAUGAUCAAUAAAAAUUUAAAUAUAUAUCACAACUUUUUUAUUUUAUAUAUAUUUCUUUUUUCAAAUAAUAAAUUUAAAUUUAUUAUGAUUAUCACAACUUUUGUGUCAAUAUAACUACAAUCAUAUAUUUUCACUUUUUAAAUUGAUUAUAAUUGUUUUUUAAAUGUUAAUUUAGUAAUAUGGUAAAAAAUAAAUGAUAUUUUUAUCAGUUUAAAUUUUUUUUAAAAAUUAUGUACUGUCUAUGUGAAGGCAUUGUACAAGGGAUCAUCAAAGUAUAAAGAUUUGUAUUAGGUAAAGUGAAAGUGAGUUGAUCAAGUCCUCCACUCAUUUUACUUUUAAAUUAAAAAAAUUUUAAACAAAUAAACUCUACUUUUGUUCUACCUACCUUUCUGUUUGUAUUCUCAUUCCAUUAAAUAAGAACUGCUUCCUUCAAUUGUUUUCCCAGCAAGAUUUCUGCACUCGCAUCUUGAAAUCCAAAUUCAAGAUUUUAAAGAAAUUUCUGAGCUCACUCACUAUUAUGGCUUGGUCUGCUGUGACAUCUGCAGUGAUAAAUAUUGGCAAGCUGCUAACUGAGGAAGCCAUAUACCUAUGGGGUGUGGAGGAGGAAGUUGAUCGUCUGCAAACAGAGCUCAAAUGGAUGCAAAGAUACUUAACGGACGCAGAGACAAAACAAUCAAAGGAAGAGAUGAUUCGUCUUUGGGUUGCUGAAAUCAGAGAGCUUGCUUAUGAUGCUGAGGAUGUUGUCGAGGAAUUUGCUCUCAAGAUUGGAUCCGAAAACAAAGGAUGUCUUCCGAGUUGUAUUAAAACAUCAGCCUGCUGUUUGAAAGAGGGAUGGGCACUCCACAAAACCAGGUCAAAAAUCGAGAAAAUCAUAGAAAGAAUCAACGACUUGGUCCGACGACUACAGGCCUACGGAGUAAAGGAAUUAAAGGACAGAGAAGAAGAAUCAAGUUCUUCAACUGAAAGACGAGAAUCAAGGCGGCCUUAUCCACAUAUUAUGGAUGAUAAUAUUGUUGGACUAGUUGAUGAUACCGAGGGAUUGGUCAAAGUUCUUACGAACGAAAGUCGAUGCCAGGUUGUUACAAUAUGGGGCAUGGGUGGUCUGGGAAAGACCACUCUCGCCAAGAAAAUAUAUCACGAUCCUCAGGUUAGAAAUUAUUUCGAGCACUUCGCUUUUGUAUACGUUUCUCAACCAUGCCAGAAAAGAAAAGUUUGGGAAGACAUUCUAUCUGGUUUCAAAACUUUAAAGGACGAGGAUAGGAAGAAAAGAGAUGAAGACUUAGCAGAGAAGUUGUGUAACAUUUUGGAGGUUAAAGAGUGUCUGGUGAUACUUGAUGAUGUUUGGACCAGAGAAGCUUGGGAUAGUCUAAAACCUGCCUUUCCAGUUGCAACGGGCCGUCAUCGCAAAAGCAAGAUAUUGCUCACCUCUAGAAACAGGGGGAUAGUUUCGGAUGCUGAGAUAAGAGGUAAAAUUUUCUUAAUUAGGUAAAAUUGAAUACUCUUAUUCCUUUUAUGGAAAAUAACUAUGUAUAUUAUUUCAGAGUUGAAGUGCCUAAACGAUCAACAAAGUUGGGAAUUGCUUCAAAAGAUUGUAUCUCCUAAAACAGGUAAAUAUACGUAUAGCAAAAUUCUUGUUAUAUGCUAAAUUUAUUUUUCAUUUUUAAAUUUUUUUGACAGUAAUUGAAAUUAAAAAUAUAUAAAAUCUAUUUUAUUUCAAAAUUUCAAAACCUUAAUAUCAAAUAAAUAAAAGAAAUCAAGCCUUUGUAGUUUAUCAAUUAAUGGUACACGCACCUAAAUAUAAUUAAUAGGUAAAUUCAUUAUCUUUAUUAUUAUAAUUUUUUAAUAACUUUGCUAUUAUUUACGGGGAAUAAAUUACAUUAGGAUUAUCUUAAAAGAUAUAGUUUUUAGGCACCAAUAAAAUAGUGUCACAUCGUUAAAUUUUUAAGAUAACAAAGAAUUAUUAUACACUCAUUUAUAUUUAAUAUUUUCUCCAAUUUAAUUUAACUUUAAUAAAAUUAUUUAAAAUAAUUAAUUUUUUAAAUUAUAAACAAACAUCUUUUCUUCUUUUACAAAUUUUAAUCAUUUUGUUUUUUCAUAAGUUAAUGUUUUUUAUUUUUGUGCAACCAAUUUUUUUUUAAAAAAACAGUAAUUUUUGUGCAAUGUUUUUCAUAUCAUUAACACAUAAUUUUGAUAAUUAUUUUAUCCUGAAGCCAAAACUCCGAACCUUGAACUCGAACCCUGAACCUAAAUCUUGAACCCUGAAUCUUGCAGUUAAAGGUUUGGUUUCUAGAUUUAAAGUUCAAAAUUCGAGGUUCAAGUUUAAAGUUUAAGGGUUCAGGGUUAUGGGUUACGAAUUUAGGAUUCAUGGUUUAAGGGUUUGGGGUAGCGAGUUUGGGGUUUUAUAUGUUUGUUUAGUUUCUUAAGCACUUUCAUGCUAUUCUUUUAUAUGUUUUUUUUUCUUAAGAAAUACAAAUUGAUUUUAUAAUUUAAAUUCAGGACUCAAACAUCACUUAAUUAAAAUAAUAAUUAAUCAAUUCUCGUUUUUUUUUUUGCCACAAAAACAUUCAUUCCAGAAAGAAUAACCAGACAUAGGAAGUCUAAAACACUAAACCAGAUAAACUAACAUGAAAAAAGCACAGUAUUCACUAAGCUUAUCCUGGAUCCUUGCAUCAGAAAGAUGGAGGCGCAGGUAAACCAUUCUUAUUAAGAGUAAAGCCAAGAAAGAUGGUAGUUGAUUCGAACAACCAACACAUCUCUUUACGACCCUAUUUAGCAAACCAAUCCGCUAACUUAUUGGCUUCUCGUCUAAUAACAUUGACUUUCAAAGAAGAAAGUUGCAUGACCAGCUUAUCAAAAACCUGAAGGACUAGCCUUAAUCUCCAUCUUCGAUCUUGACUCUUCUCAAUAUUCGAAAAAAUAGUCUGGGAGUCAGUCUUGAUUGUCACAUUGCUCCACUUGUUCUUCAUAGCUAAUUCAAUCCAUCCAACCAUAGCUUUAGCCUCGACAACCUGACAUGAAUCCACUUAAUCCUUUUACCAAUCCCAUCCAGCAUCUUCCCACUUAAAUUUCUGCCUAUUACUCUAAUACCAGCACAAGCUAUCAAGGUGUCAAAUGCCCCAUCACAAUUUAACUUUAACCCAACCUUCUGGUGGUUUCUCCCAAAUAUCAGCACAAGUUUUUGACUUCCUAGUUCGAUCAGAGUUAUUGUUUGAACAGAGGAUCCAUUGAGCAGAUAAGAAUUCAUUCAUGGAGCAAUUAAUCCUUCGAAUAAUUCUCUCCAAACCAAGUUUCACACCUCCAAUUGUAACCUCACACCUAGCUUUGCAGAUGUGCUAGCAAGUGAAAACAAUUCUAACUUUGAAAUCCUCCCUCAUACAAGGCAUUUGUAACAACUUUGAGAACCAUCUGUCAAAUGAUUGAGUUUGAUCAUUUAUCCCUUGAAGACCAAAACAAGCCUCAUACUAUAUUCCCCUAAGAAUAAUAUGUUCAAAGUCUCAUCUUUUCCACGGAUUAAAAUGAGAUGGAAUAGCAUUAUGACACAAUUUCCAUAAGAAAAUUUUAACUUUGUUCGGUACCUGUAAGCUCCAAAUAGCUUUCCAAGUGCUCCUAUCAAUUAAGUGAGAGCUGGAAGGUUGUAAAGAAGACUCAUUUCCAUAGUGCUUUCUCAACUCCUUGUACCCUGACUUCAUCGGAUAUUGACCAACAGCUGUAAACGGCCAUACCAAUUUAUCUUGUUCAUUUGUUUCGUGAAGGGGAACUUUUAAUUUCGCAAUUUCAAUAUCUUCUAACCACAUUGAGAUACUGGGUAAGUCCCAAUUUAGUUGUUCUAAACAAAUGAUCUCAGCAACUCGUGUUGGUGAGGAUCUGUCAAUAUUUCCAGGAUGCUUUAAUUCCCUAUCUUUAACUCCCAGCAAUCAUCUAUCUUCCCAAAUGCAGAUGCUUUCGCCAUUUUGCACUUGCCAAAUCAAAGUCUUCUUUUAAAAACUCUUUCCCUUCAAGAAUGCUACUCCACACCCAUGAUGACCUAGCUCCUUUUUUAGCUUCAAGGAAAUUAGAAUUCGGGAAAUAAAGUCCUUUUAAAAUCCUACCCCAAAGAGCAUCAGGAUCCUGGACUAACUGUCAAGAUUGUUUUGCAAGUAGAGCAAGGCCUCCAAGCUUUUCAAUGAAUACGUCUCUCAUUUUCCUUCUGCUGAAUUCAUUUCCACGCAUAAGUUUUUAGGAAGUUCGAAAAGAUAUCGUAUACAUUGAAGCGCAUGCUACUGCUUUAAUAAGAACCUCCCUUCCCCUUCAAGAUAACGUUUGCUGCUUCCAGCCCUAAAGUUUGGUAAGGACCUUUUUUUUUUUUGGUGAAAGUGAGGACCUUAUCUUUGAUAUGCCUCAAAGUUAAUGUUUUCGAAAGCUCCCACAAAGAAGGGACACCCAAGUAUCAACCUUUCGUUGACCCUUCGGGAGUAUUCACAGUAAAAACAUUGCUUGAUUUAUCGUACUUGACCCUUCGUCCAGAAGCUGCACAAUAUUCUUGAAAGUUCAUCAUUCUACUACAAUUUAACGAAUUAGCUUCCAAAAAGAAUAGAGAUCGUUCGCGAAUAAAAAAUGUGACACUAUUCGAUAAUGACUACCAAGGCUAAUCCCAGAAAUAAAACUAGACUCGACUCUAAGGAUAAGUUUGGAUUGGCAAUUGGGUGCGAUGCGGUGCGUUUAGCCUACUUUUUGUCUCAAGCUACAGUGUUGCUACAGUAUUUAAUCUCACCGCCACCUCUGUUUUUACACUAACCUCAGGUAAACGCACCGCCCAUCCUAACUCACCUUAAGGCUAAUUAUAUGAGAGAGGAUGUUCACAACAAAAAGGAAGAGGUAAGGUGAUAGAGGGUCACCUUCUAGAUGGAUAGAUUUUUCUAUUAGAUUUACCAUUAAUAAGCAAAGUGUAAGAAACAUUCCUCACACACUCCAUUAUCCAAUCAAUCCAUGUUAAAGCAAAUCUCAUUUUUCUUAAAAUAGUUUUCAGAAGUCCCCACUCUACUCUUUCAUGUCGAGCUUCCAAGCAACCUCAUAUUUCUUACCCCUCUUCUUCAAUUUCAAAUGAUGAAAACCUCUUGAGCAAUUAAGAUGUUAUCAUGUAUUUGUCUACCUACCACAAAAGCACUUUGAUUAUUCAUAAUCACUACCCUAGAACUCCUUUCAAUAUCUUCACCAUGAUCUUCGAUAUGAUUUUAUAGGCAAAAUUAUAAAAAUUAAUUAGUCUAAAUUAUGUAAUUAAUUGAAAACAUUUAGUCUUCAGAAUUAAAAUUAUCUUAAUCUCAUUUAAACCCAUCGAAAAUUUCCCUUCCCUAAAAAAAAAACUCUUAAUAGCUUCCAAAACAUCCUUUUUAAUAAUUUCUCAAUAAUUAUGAUAGAAAAUUCCGCUAAAAUCAUUCGCAAAAUAAGAGAUUAAUUUAAUUGUGUUGUAUGCUUAACUUGUACGAUAUAAGUAAAAUCUUAUAAUUUUAUCUCCAAAUUCUCUCAACACAAUUUUCUGACCCUUAUUUAUAAUCUCAUUUGUAUCUAACAGGAUCCAAUUUAAAGUUAAAUAGUCUUUUUUAUAUAAUGAAUUAUAUUUUUAUUCGAAUCUCCUCUUAAAUUAAUUAGAGUCUUACUUAGUAUUGACUGUUCCGUAAAGUAUUCAAAGUUUUCAAAUAGAUUCCUAUUUUUACAGUUCUUUCACGUACUUAAAUUAAUUCCUAAUUUUCCUUACUUUUUUAAAAAUAUUUAUUCCUAAUCUUUUAUACAGGAAAUAUAAUCGAUGUGAAAAUGAUAGAGUUGGGAAAGAACAUGGUUAAACAUUGUGCAGGGUUGCCAUUAGCCAUUGUUGUAUUGGGAGGAAUUUUGGCUACAAAGAAAAAUUCGUUAAUCGAAUGGCAAAAGAUAUCUGACAAUGUAAAAUCAUACUUGAAGAGAGGCAAAAAUCAAGGACCAGAGGAUGUGUUAGCAUUAAGUUAUGAUGAUUUGCCUCCCUAUCUAAGACCAUGUUUCCUCUAUCUAAGCCAUUUUCCGGAGGAUUAUAUGAUAGAUGUGGAUAGAUUGAUUCAAUUAUGGGUUGCUGAAGGUAUUGUGUCAUCAAAGGAAGAAGAAAGAGACGGCGGGGAAAUUGCGGAAGAUGUGGCGGAAUCUUAUUUAAUGGAGCUUGUGGAAAGGUGCAUGAUUCAAGUACGAGAAAGAAAUGUGGCAGCCUCAGAGAUCAGAGCGACCUUAAAGGUCAAAACGAUUCAGAUGCAUGAUCUGAUAAGAGAUCUUUGCUUAUCAAAGGCAAAACAAGAGAAAUUUGUCUUCAUUGUUGAUGGAUCGAAUGCAUCUUCAUUAUCUAUGAUUCGGAAGGUUCGUAGGGUUUCUGUGCAUGAGUCUUUUUUCAUACAAUGCAUUAAAAGUCCAAAUAUUCGGUCACUUUUGUUCUUCAAUCAGUUCUUUCCGGAGGAGGCAUUAGAAAAAUCUUUUCCCUUGGAAGUGUUGAACUACGUUAAAAAACAUUGUGACGAUUGUUGUAAUCCACUAUUUUGGAUUCUUCUGAUUUCGGUAGGUUCUACAAGACGUCUUAAAAUUCGGGAAUUUUGGAGAUACAUGUUCAACAACUUCAAAUUGCUGAGAGUCCUAAACUAUGACAAAGGAAGAACGUCAUAUGGUUUUUGGACCGGGUGGGAUUUACCCAGUGAUAUAGGGAAUCUCAUCCAUUUAAGAUUCUUGAGUCUAAAGGAUCUUGUGUUCUUAUGGCCAAAGUUGCAAUCAUCUCUAGGCAACUUAAGGUGCUUGCAAACCUUGGAUUUAAGAGUUAAUUUUCCCGAAAUUCAUGUACCUAAUGUGAUAUGGAGGAUGGAGCAACUAAGACAUUUAUAUCUCCCUUUCGACUGUGAAAGCAGUACUAAGUUGAACUUGGGUACUUUGAGAAAACUCCUAACACUUGUGAACUUCAACACCAAGAAUUGUUAUCUGAAGGAUCUUAUCAACAUGACAAAUCUUAGAGAGUUGGAGAUAAAUUUGCCCUUCAAUAUUGAAAAUUUCAAUGAGUCAGGCGAGAAUCCACCCAUAAUCGGUGGUAAAUAUCUUCAUUCCCUGUUUAUUAUUGCCAUUGGGGAAUCCGGCUCAGAAAUAGAUCCAAGACAUUUGGCCCACCUCCUUUCAAAUUGUACAAGUAUUUGCCAGUUGAGUAUAGCAGCAGAGAUAAGUAAGUUACCAGAGUAUCAAUACUUCUCUUCACAUCUCGCUUACAUACGGUUGAGUUGGUGCAAGUUUGAGGAAGAUCCAAUGCCAACACUAGAGAAGCUGCCUAACUUAAGGAUUCUUGAAUUCAAAUAUACUUUAGAAGGAAAGGAAAUGUUUUGCUCUGCUCAGGGUUUUCCUAAACUUGAGUCUCUAAUCCUUGAACAGCUCGGCAAAUUGGAGGAGUGGAAGGUGGAUGAAGGAGCCAUGCCUUCUCUUCAGCGAUUGGAGAUUAGGGAAUGCGGAAACUUGAAGAUGCUUCCAGAGGGAUUGAGGUUUAUUACAACCCUCAAAGAACUGAAGAUUGAAUCAAUGCCAAAGGCAUUCAAAGAUAGAUUGGAGGAAGGAGGAGAAGAUUUCUACGAAGUCAAACAUGUUCCUUCUAUCAUAUUCCAAAACAUCUUGCGCUAAGAAAUUGAAUGAUAAUUGAGAGGUAAUUUCAUAACCUCUAGUUUAGGAAAUGAUUCCUACUUUCUUUGCUGCUUAUAUAUCUUUCGUUUUUGACAAUGUCUCACCUUCUCACUCCAUUUGUCAUCACACCAAUGAAUAAUUACAUUUAUUAAAAGUCAAAGGAAGUCAGACAUUGAUCUUUUUAGUUUUGCUUUUCAGGUAAAGACGCCAUUUUUUCACCUGCACUGCUAUUCACGGGAUCAAAUCUAGAUUUAAAACUCCUAUUAUAAGUGGCGUGUGAAAGUGUGUUAUAUGGUGAGAUUUGGAAUUAUCUUCUCUCUUGUAUAUAUCUAUGGUUGAUGACAUCAGACUGGUUGACUGUUUGUUGUUUUCUUCAAAUUACAAUAAAACGGUUGCAAGAUAAGGUAUGGGAAGAAUGGGAGGUGUCUGGUUUAGCAAGGUACCAAACCCCUCCGCCAUUUCAAUUUCCUUCAAUCUAAGUUAAUUACACAUUCAUUUUUGUCUUUUAAAACGUAAAAUUGCAGAUAAGGAGACGUCAUUGACCUUUGUUCCGACAUAGCUUUGGUUUGCGGUGACUGUUCCUAUAUUUAUUUGUUGGCUUUGCUUUCUCUUUCCUUUUUCUUUUCCCUACUUAAGGCUGCUUUAGUCUUUCUCUUUUAUUUUUUUAUAUGUACUUAAUGUAAUAUUAGAAGCCAAGGCAGGACCAUGCUUUUCUAUUGUAAAAUUCUUCACUUCGUUGUCUAUGUUCAUUUCUACUCUUCAGUUUACUUUAUAUAAUUGUUUGAUAUAUAUUUGAAUAUGGAGAAUAUAAUCUUUUUAAUAUAUACAUAUUUUAGAAAAAAUUGAAUAUAAGUAUGUUGGACACAUUUCCUAUUUCAACAUAUUUCCUUAUUUUAUGCAAGUCGAUUGGUAUUCAACAUAAUCUUUUCUGUCAUCCUUAACUCAAUAAUCUUUGUUACGAUAUCAUAUCAAGUUUAAUGGUUGCACUUCAUCCCCACACUUCCAAAGCAAAAAGUAGGAAAAAUUAAAUCUUACCAAGUAAUAACACUUCCCAAAUACAUUGUCUUACAAAAAAAAAAAAAAAAGAAAGAAGAUACAAUUUGAAAAUUUUUUUUAAUCAACAUUUGAUGGUUUAGCAAGCUAUGCUUUAUAAUAGGCAAAGGAUUCCAAGAGAAUCAAAGAUUCCAAAAUCGAUAUUUGGAUUCAAGAUUUUGUAUCCCCUUUCUUUGCUUCUUAUAUCUACCAACAAUAUCUUGAUGAUAAUAAACUUAAAAAAAAUAUUCAAGGGAAUUGAAGAUCCUAAAUCUAACUUAAACGGUUGAAAAUUUCACAUCCACUUAAUUAAUUCAAAUGAUAUUUAUUCAAUAAGCUUAAAGUAAAAACUGCAAGAAUCUUCAUUUGUCUUUUAUUCGAAAUGUAAUUGGGAUUCAAUGAAAAUAUUGAACAUAUAAUGUGUGCACAUGGAAAUGUCCAAAUCUUUAAAUAUAGGGUCCACAUGCGAGAAAUCUCUUAACACCCAACGUUAAAGAUUUAUAAAAUUCAAUAUGAGCCUAUUAUUUUCGUUAUAAAACUCAAUAUCUUAUUUGGAUUAGGAUACGAGCGAAUAACAGCUAACUAUUUGUAGUUCAAGGUGUGAUAAAAUCUCAGUAGCUAAGAUAUGAAUGUUGCAAAAUACCAUACAAAAUCACAGCCACAUUUGUUAGUAUGACUAUUUUGGGUAAUCAAAGGAAAAAAAUGUUAGCUGUUGAGCAAACAAGGUGAACAAAUUAGAUAUUCCAAUUACGUUCAAGCACUUGACAAAUCCUUUCUGCAAUGGCUUCAGCACGCAUCCUUAAUUUAAUUUCUUAUCAUACGUUUUUGCAUGUAUCAUAAGAAAUUAAAUUAAGGAUUUUCUACUGCAAACCUACCAUGAAAACAUAAUUUUUAUUAGGAUCAAAGGCAUAGCCCAUCAUGGCAGCAUUAUUGAGUCCAUUUUCAGAGGAAAAUCCUGAAACAUGUUACAGGCAAAUAUUAAGAAAAACAACGCACAAGCAUAAGUAUAAAAAACCUAGCAUGUAAGAAAUCAAUACUUGAAAGGAUUAAAAUCACUGCUAACCUAAGACAUUGAAUCUAGCACCACUAGGAAACAUCCGAAAUGAUACUUGUCUUUCAAUGUUGAGAUACAUAGGUCCAAGUCUGCCAUGUUGCGCCAAACGGGAAUUCAUCAACCUCUUGAGAACCUAAAGGAUGAAAAGUUCCAGUCCAAGUUAUAUAUAUACAGACACACACACAGAUAGACAUGAAGAAAGUGGGUUACUGGUGUAUUAUUUAAGUAAAGAAAAAGUUGAAAUCUUGAACCUCUAAAUAUUGGGUAACAGCUAGUGUUAAAAGUGCAUAAAGUUCUGCUAUUAUCUACAAGAAACAAAGGAGGAAUCACAUACAUUGUUUAUAUUCACUUUUCUUGCUACACAAGCAAGCUGACUCCAUAUACAAAAGCAUAUCUUUUUCUCCGUUUUUAAAUGGUUUUUUUGUUUUUCGGCUGCUUUUUAUAUUAAGAGACAGAGAUUGUGAGACCUCGUCAUCCUCAAGGAGUAAAUGGUCAAGCAUGGAGAUGAUGGGAAGACCAUGAGUCGAUGGUGGUCGAUCCAUGAGUUGAUUAUGAAUAGUUUCAUGUUAUGAAAUAAAAAUGUUAGCUAAAGUUAGUUGAACGCUGUGUUUUAGGGCCGAGGGUUUAAUGAAACUAUAAGUUUUGAUGUUGAAUGAAAACGGUGCGUAUUGAUGGUUUGCUACAACUGCUCGAGGAACAGCCCUAUAACAGACUUUGUAACUGCCAANNNNNNNNNNNNNNNNNNNNNNNNNNNNNNNNNNNNNNNNNNNNNNNNNNNNNNNNNNNNNNNNNNNNNNNNNNNNNNNNNNNNNNNNNNNNNNNNNNNNNNNNNNNNNNNNNNNNNNNNNNNNNNNNNNNNNNNNNNNNNNNNNNNNNNNNNNNNNNNNNNNNNNNNNNNNNNNNNNNNNNNNNNNNNNNNNNNNNNNNNNNNNNNNNNNNNNNNNNNNNNNNNNNNNNNNNNNNNNNNNNNNNNNNNNNNNNNNNNNNNNNNNNNNNNNNNNNNNNNNNNNNNNNNNNNNNNNNNNNNNNNNNNNNNNNNNNNNNNNNNNNNNNNNNNNNNNNNNNNNNNNNNNNNNNNNNNNNNNNNNNNNNNNNNNNNNNNNNNNNNNNNNNNNNNNNNNNNNNNNNNNNNNNNNNNNNNNNNNNNNNNNNNNNNNNNNNNNNNNNNNNNNNNNNNNNNNNNNNNNNNNNNNNNNNNNNNNNNNNNNNNNNNNNNNNNNNNNNNNNNNNNNNNNNNNNNNNNNNNNNNNNNNNNNNNNNNNNNNNNNNNNNNNNNNNNNNNNNNNNNNNNNNNNNNNNNNNNNNNNNNNNNNNNNNNNNNNNNNNNNNNNNNNNNNNNNNNNNNNNNNNNNNNNNNNNNNNNNNNNNNNNNNNNNNNNNNNNNNNNNNNNNNNNNNNNNNNNNNNNNNNNNNNNNNNNNNNNNNNNNNNNNNNNNNNNNNNNNNNNNNNNNNNNNNNNNNNNNNNNNNNNNNNNNNNNNNNNNNNNNNNNNNNNNNNNNNNNNNNNNNNNNNNNNNNNNNNNNNNNNNNNNNNNNNNNNNNNNNNNNNNNNNNNNNNNNNNNNNNNNNNNNNNNNNNNNNNNNNNNUUUCGGAACAAAACCAUGCCGUACCAUUUGUUUCAAAGCCCAAUCAACUUCCUUUACCAUCUUCCCCUUACAAAAACCAUGAAUCAACUUCUUGUAUGAAUCAAAACUAGGAUUAACCCUCUCGAAAGCCACAUUUGUUAGUAUGACUAUUUUGGGUAACCAAAGGAAAAAAAAAUGUUAGCUGUUGAGCAAACAAGGUGAACAAAUUAGAUAUUCCAAUUACGUUCAAGCACUUGACAAAUCCUUUCUGCAAUGGCUUCAGCACACAUCCUAGGACCUUCAUCAUCUGCAAAAACCGACCAUUUCUAACAACUAAGCUAACAUCACACAUGAUAAUAUAUGUAUAUAACAUAUAUAGAAGAUGAGUAUGUGGAUUAAAAGCUAUGUUAGUUUGACUCAAUACAUGACCAUGGGACAUGCACGAUUCUUCAAUAAUGAUACGAAAAUAAUUGGAAGAAAAAUUAAAUACAUCAAUAUCUAACAUUUACAUCUGAGUAUGUUUAAUGGUACUCUUUCUUUAGCCAAAUUUUGGCUUCUUUUAGUAGCUAUUCUGACCCAUUUUUCUUUGACCAAAAUGCCCUUGAACAUGUCUUUUUAUUGGGGUUUUAGUUGGACAAGGACUACCCCUGAUGUCAUUUUUGGUCCCCUCACGACAAUAUUGCAAUAACCAACACAGGGUAUCGUGAUAUCGUGGACUGUCUCAAAUGAGGGUCUUCUUUGGUAGCUGGGUAUCACAAUACCUAAGGGGGAUAUCAUGAUACCACUAUAGGUGGUCUUCAUUUCAAGCUUGUGGGAGGUAUCGCUAUGUCCAUGUUGUGAUGUCGUGAUACCCCUUUCCUUAUGUUUUUGCACAAUUUCGGGUCACCGUCAAGUUCCUACAACACUUAAUUGAUCGUUAGGGUCCAAAUGGCACAUUUAUCAAUUUGAGUCUCAAAAUGAGCACAAAACACAUUAAACAUUUAUUAAAUCAAAAAUAAAAAUCUACGCUAAACUACGGAAAAACACUAAUUUGCUUGAAAACAAGCUCUUUAAGUAUAAUGAGGAACCCUAAAUUGACAUAUCAAAUUAUUGUAACUUAGUUGUCUUUUUGAUUCGAACCCACAACCUGAGUUGUUGAGUUGAUCACCCAAUGUCACUAGGCGAAGAGUUUGGGUUCUAUGUACUAACUUGAAGUUGAGGCAUAUUAUAAAGAAGAUUUCAAUUUGACAUGUUUAAUUUUUUUAAUUUAACUCGAAUAAAUUUAUUUAACUCGACUUAAAUUUUAUUUUACUCAACUUGAUUAAAAAAAUUUCAAAUCAAGUUAAGAUGAUAAAAUAGGAUUCAUGAACUUGAUGUAGUCGAAAUUUUUUUUACUAGAUUCGAUCAAACGCUCAACCUGUUAGGUGAGAUGAUGUUUAGGGAUUUGAUUUGUAAAAUCAUUUUUUUCUCAAUCAUUCCUCAUAAUAUAGAAAAUAAUAAGUUAAGUUAUGCCAUUAGUCCUUGUACUUUACAAAAAGUUGUGGAUAUAAUCUAUAUACUUUAGUUUGGUCAUUUUUAAUAAAUGUACUUUUCAAAUUUGAAAAUUUCAAUCCUCACCAAACGAUAACUGUUAAAUUCAUUAAGUUAAGCUUUGUUAUUUUCAAAAUAUUACAUGACAAACAAAUUAUUAUAUGUGUAAUGCCAUGUCAACUUGUUAUUUUGACAUAUUACUCACCAAAAUUUCACUUAAUGGAUUAACGACUUUCAUUCAUGUGGAGACUAAAAUUUCAAAAUUCAAAAGUAGAGGGACUUAAAAUGAUCUAAUUGGAGAAAAUAGACUAAAUCUAUAACUAUACUCAUAGUAUAAGACUAGUAAUUGAAUUUAUCCAAAUAAAUUUAAUUGCUACAGUUUGGGUUAAAACUAAAAUUUCAAAAUUAAAAAAAAAUACAGAAAUUGAAGUUGACAAAUUCAAAAAAAUAUACAUAUUAAAAUUGAUCAAAUUAAAAGUAAACUGACUAACCUUAAUUUUUCUGAUAAUCUUUCUUUUCCCUUAAUUAAAUGACCAUGAUGUAUACUAUAUAUCUUAGUAUAUAAAUAUUUUAAAAAUAAAUAAAUAUAUGUAUGUUGGACACAUAUUCAAGUUUGAUAUUCGUCUUAAAUAUAUGUAUGUUGGACACGUAAUCUUUUUCAUUGUUUAAUAUCCUAAUCCUUAAUUAAUUUAAUAAUAUUUGUUACGAUAGGGUCUAAUGGCUGCAAUUUAUCUUGACACUUUCGAAGCAAAAAAUAAAAAAUAAAAAAAUCAAAUUUCACCGAUUAAUUACAUGCCAACACAUAUAACCCACGAUAUGUUUAUCUCAAAGAUUUAAAUAAGAUAAACUAAAUCACAAAGAAAACAAACGAGUAAACAUAAUCUAGAAAUUCCAAAUUUACAUUAUCUAACAGAAAUUCAAUAAGAAAUAAAAGGUUGCAUUUCAUUCUUUAGGGAUUUGCUCUUAUAUCUUCCAACAAUAGCUUGAUGAUAAUAAGCUGAAAAAGAAAAGGAGUCCAAGGGAAUUGAAGAUUCUUAAUUCAGCUAGCUUAAUUGAUUGAAUACUUCAAAUACACUUAAUUAAUACCAAUGAUAUUUAUCAAUAAAUCUAAAAUUUGCAUCCUACUUUGUAAAAACUGCCAGAAUGAAAUCAAAUUAUCUGAUUUCAAUUCUCUUCAAAUUUUAGUUUACAACUUCUAUUUUUGGGUUUCCAUUUGUUUCAACUUUUAAAGCAAGCAUUGAUUCAAGAAAUAUUUAUUUCAUUUGACUUAUUUGCUUUUCUAAUUUUAUGUUAUUCAGAUUCGAUGAAAAUAUUGAACAUAAUAUGUGUGCAAGUCAAGAUGUCCGAGUCUUACAAUGUAAGGUUGAAACGGGAGAAAUAUCCUAAAAGCUGAUGCUAAAAGAUUUAUAAAAUUCAGUAUAAUCAUUUUGUUUUCAUUAUAAAACUCAAUGUUAAAAUGUCUAUGAUUCGAGAUUAUGAUACAAGAGAAAAAUAGCUAACUAUUUUAAGUUCAAGGUGUGAGAAAAUCUCAAUAGCUAAGAUAUGAAUGUUGUAAAAUACCACUCAAUCACACAGAAAUAUAUACACACAGAAAUACCACUCAAUCACAGCCACAUUUGUUAGUAUGACUACUUUGGAUGAAAAGUUCUAUUCCAAGUUAUAUAUACACACAGAAAUACACAUGAAGUGGAUUAAUGGUGUAUUAUUUAAGUAAAGAAAAAGGGUUCUAACUAGAAGAAAGAGUUGAAAUCUUGAACCUCUAACUAUUGGGUAACCGCUGGUGUUAAAAAGUACAUAAAGGUCCGCGCUUAUCUACAAAAAAACAAUGGAGGAAUCACGUUCAUUGUUUAUAUUCAUUUUUUUUGCUCCACAAGCAAUCCAAAACCAUAAACAAAGGAAUACUUUUUUUCGCCUUUUUAAAUGGUUUUCUUGUUUCUUUUUCGCUUUUUAAAUUCUUCAUUCAAUUCAAGUUCAAGAAACCAUACUAAAUAUAUAUAUUUAUAUUUAUAUUCACUUUUCUUGCUACACAAGCAAGCCAAAAUCAUAAACAAAGGCACGCUUUUUUUUUCCCUUUUUUUAAUGAUUUUCUUGAUUCUUUGUUGUUUUUAAAAUUCUUCAUUCAAUUCAAGUUCAAUAAACCAUAUUAAAUAUAUAUAUUUAUAUUCACUUUUUUUUGCUACACAAGCAAGCUGAAACCAUAAACAAAGGCAUACAUUUUUCUCCUUUUUUAAAUGGCUUUCUUGUUUCUUUGUUGUUGUUUUUAAUUCUUUGCUCAAUUCAAGUUCAAGAAUCCAUACUAAAUAUAUGUGUUUAUAUUCACUUUUCUUGCUACAUAAGUAAGCUGAAACCAUAAACAAAGGCAUACUUGUUUUCCUUUCUUACCGUUGCUACCUUUUAGAUUCUUUAUUCAAUUCAAGUUCAAGAAAUCAUACUAUAUAUAUAUAUUCACUUUUCUUGCUACACAAGUCAACCGAAACCAUAAACAAAGGCAUAACUUUUUCGCUUUUUUUUAAAAUGAAUUUUUCUUUGCUGCUUUUUAAAAUUUUUAUUCAAUUUAAAUUCAAAAAACCCUACUAAAUAUAUAUAUAUAUAUAUAUAUAUAUAUAUAUAUUAAGAGAGAGACCUCAUCAUCCUCAAGCUUGAUGGGAAGGCCACAAGUCGGUGGUCGUCAAAUCAUGAGUUGAUUAUGAGUAGUUUCAUGUUAUGGAAAAAAGAUGUUAGUUAAAAUUAGUUAGUUGAGAGUUUAAUGAAACGAUACGUUUUGAUGUUUAAUGAAAACGGUGCGUAUUGAAAGUUUGAUACAACUAGUCGAGUAACAAGCCUUUAACAAACUUUGUAACUACCAAUUCUGAAGCCUUACAGGAACUGCCAACUUUUGAUUUUGUUUGUAAUCCUCGCUUUAAAAAAAUAUUCCAAAUAUGCUUCCUCACCUUAUCAUUUUUGUUAUUUUUCAAGUGCCCUUACCAUUCUAUAUUUUCAAUGGUUAAAUUGUAAAAAUGGUUACCUAAUUAUUGCUUUCGUUCUAUUUUAAUCACUAAAUCGAUUUAGUUAUUAAAAUUUUCGAAAUUAAAUAUUUUAAUCACUCUCAGUUAUCUUUAGAUGAGUGAUAGGAAGUUAAUGUGAGCUGUUUUUAUUGGUCUAAUAACAAAUUUAAUCAUCUAAUGUUUACACAUUCUAUUAAUUUAAUUUUAAAUAUAAAAUGUUCAACAGAUUUAACCCUAAAUAUUUACAAAAUCUAUUGUUAUAGUUCGAAUCCUAAAAAUUUCAAUAAGUUUAGUCCUCAAAAUUUGUAAAUUUAAUUUUAAUUCCAAAAAUUUUAGAAAAAGGAAAGAUGUAUUUUAUGUUAUAUAAAAGAAAAUCUAGCUCCAUCCAACAUUUUAAAUUCUUUUCUUUUUUCUUCACAUUUUCAUGGCAACGAAAAAACCAACUCAUGGAUGAAUUAAGCAAAUUAAUUAAAAUCAAAUAAAUCGAACAAGGAUUUUAAUUAAAAAGAAAUUCUUCACAUGCAUCAAGGAGGGACUUCCUCUGGUGGUAUCAAGGGGAUUGAUAGAAACAGCUCAGGCUCGAACAAGAACUUCAUUGGGCUUAAGAUCAGGAACAGACACAUCGGACCAAAGCUGCAACACCUCAGGUCCUCCGAACCGAGGCAGCAAUACCGCACUGUAACUGUUGACAUAGCACCGAAUUGAACCCACUUUCAACGAUAACUCCAUAAAGGGUUUAGGUUUUAAGCUUUGAAGUUCCCUUUUUUCUACUCAAAUUUACUGAAUUUCAGCUCCUUCCUUUUGUUAAAUGAAGGAAAAGCAGAGGAGAGACACGGAAGUGUUUUAAUCCACAUAGAAAAAAGUGAUUGUGUGACUUGUGAGUGGGGGCCUAUGGGGCGUGGAAGAAGAAGAUGAACAUUGCAUAAUCAAUUUUUAAUUGCUUAUUACAUUCAUAAUUUAAUAAAUAAAAAUUUCUAACCUUAUCUAUUAAAUCAAGUUAGAAUGUUCAACUUAAUUUUUGUUUGUUAUAAGUAUCACAUAUUAUAAAAAUUAAUUAUAUUUUAAUAAUUAUAUAAUAUUGAUUGAGUUAUUAUUUUUAAUUAUAUCAUCUGAUACCAUCUUGAGGACUAAAUUUAGAAUUAGAACUAAAUUGACAAAUUUCUGAAAUUUUGAGAUUAAAUUUAUUUUUAUUUUUAAGAAUUUGAACUAAAAUGAGAAAUUUUGUAAAUAUUGAGGAUUAAAUUUGUUGGAAAUUUUAUAUUUAGAAUCAAAUGGAUAGAAUGUCUAAACAUUAGGGGCCUAAAUUUGUUAUUAGACCAAUAAAAACAAGUUUAUACCAAUUUCCUGUAGCUCAUUAAUUGCAACUAACGAGGAAAUGAUUAAAAUAUUUAAUUUCUAAAAAUUUAAUGACUAAAUAAAAAAAUUAAUAUUUAAGUGAUCAAAAUAGAAUGAAAUCAAUAAUUUGAUGACCAUUUUUGUACUGUACCCUAUCUUAAUCCAUCUCACAACCAAAUUUCUCCGUCUUUGCCUAAUUUCUCGUCAUUGUCAAAUUUUAAUAGAAUUAACAUUUUUAUUUAAAAAAUAUCUUUAAUCAUUUAAUAUAUUUUUAAUAACUAAAUGUUAAUUCCAUUAAGAGUCAGUUUAUUUACAUGUAAAAAGUUAUAUAAUAUGAGUCUAUUGAACCGAUUCAAUCAUAAAUUUUAUUAUUAUUGGUUUAUAUAAUGGUUUGAUUUUGAAAAUAUUUGGUUUAACAUUUAGUCAUCCCUUUGAUCAAUUUUAAAUUUUAGAAAUAAUUUUGUUUUUUGUUUACAUUUAAAUGUACAGUUUCUAAUGCAUAUGUGUUACAUUUGAUUUCAAGCCAUUAAUCCUUAAUUACUUUUUAAAAUAAUAGUUCUCUUAGUUUUUAAAUAAUGUAUAAAUUUAUAAUUAUAUAAGAAAGUAAACUAUAAUAUUAAUUUUUAAAAAAUUAAGUAAAACAGAAGGCAAUAAUUUUUAUAAUAAUUAAUGAUAAAUAUGAAAAAUAUUCACAAUUAUAAAACAAACCGUUUAAGAGUAUAUAAACUACUUAUACAAAAUUUUUUUAAAUUAAAGAUGAAAAUAUAUAUAUAUAUAAAUAUACAUAAUUUAUAAGUGAAAAAUAUACAUAAUUUUAUUCAUAAAAAAUACAUAUGAUAAUAUACAGACAAGGUUAUAAAGUAAUUCAUAGGAAUAUAGCUUUCUUGUUUGUAUUCUCAUUCGGUUAUGAAUAUAGCUUUCUUGUUAGUAUUCUCAUUCUAUUUUGAACAUACCUUUCUUGCUUGUUUUCUCAUUCUAUUAUGAAUAUACCUUUCUUGUUCGUAUUCUCGUUCUAUUGAUGAUUAAUGUUGCUUUAUAAUUGUUUAUAAAUUUAAUAGAACUAUAUAUUACUACUAAAAGUAUAAAAGGGCAAUGAUUUGCAAUUGCUUUUAUAAUUAAGUACUGCUUCUUGCAAUUGUUUUCCCAGCAAGAUUGAAAUCCAAAUUCAAGAUUUUAAAGAAUUUUCUGAGCUCGAUCACUAUUAUGGCUUUGUCUGCUGUGACAUCUGCAGUGACAACAAUCGGCAACCUGCUAACUGAGGAAGCCAUAUUCCUAUGGGGCGUCGAGGAGCAAGUUGAUCGUCUGCAAACAGAGCUCAAAUGGAUGCAAAGAUACUUAAUGGACGCAGAGACAAAACAAUCAAAGGAUGAGAUGAUUCGUCUUUGGGUUGCUGACAUCAGAGAGCUUGCUUAUGAUGCCGAGGAUGUUGUCGAGGAAUUUGCUCUCAAGAUUGGACCCAAAAACAAAGGAGGUCUUGCGAGUUGUAUUAAAAGAUCAGCCUGCUGUUUGAAAGAGGGAUGGGUGCUCCAUGAAACCAGGUCAAAGAUUGAGAAAAUCAUAGAAAGAAUCAACGACUUGGUCCGACGACUACAGGCCUACGGCGUAAAGGAAUUAAAGGACAGAGGAGAAGAAUCAAGUUCUUCAACUGAAAGACGAGAAUCAAGGCGGCCUUAUCCACAUAUUAUGGAUGAUAAUAUUGUAGGACUAGUUGAUGAUACCGAGGGAUUGGUCAAAGUUCUGACGAACGAAAGUGGAUGCAAGGUUGUUACAAUAUGGGGCAUGGGUGGUCUGGGAAAGACCACACUCGCCAAGAAAAUAUAUCACCAUCCUCAGGUUAGAGAUUAUUUCGAAAACUUCGCUUUUGUAUAUGUUUCUCAACCAUGCCAGAAAAUAAAUGUUUGGGAAGACAUUCUAUCUGGUUUCAAAACUUCAAAUGUCAAGGAUAGGAAGAAAAGAGAUGAAGAAUUAGCAGAGGAUAGGAAGAAAAGAGAUCAAGAAUUAGCAGAGAAGUUGUGUAAAACUUUGGAGGAUAAAAAGUGUCUGGUGAUACUUGAUGAUGUUUGGACCAGUGAAGCUUGGGAUAGUCUAAAACCUGCCUUUCCAGUUGCAACGGGCCGUGAUAGCAAUAGCAAGAUAUUGCUCACCUCUAGAAACAAGGG